UUUUUUUUUGGUUGGGUGUGACCAUGGUCCCUGCCCAGUUCCGGGCCACAGGAAGGCUCCUCCGCCUGCAGGAUGGAUGAGACAUCCAAAUUUUGUAUCCUAGCUAAAGUGCACCACAAAUAUUAAUAUUAAUAUUCUCGUAUAUAUGCCUAUUACAAACUUGUUUCUUGUUAACGCCAAACAUGAAUUGAAGGCAGUUUACAAUUAAUUUGCAAAAAGAUAAAAGAGGACUGUGGGCAGAGCAUCAUCAGUUGUAGACGCAGCUGCCGUCGUCGCUUCUGGCUGUUGGGUCGAAGUUGCCGGCCUUUGGGUCGGUGCACCCCUCGGGCACGGGCACGCCCACCUGCUGCGCCGCCUUGCCGUAGUACAAGUUGCCGGCGGUGAUGGCUUCGUCGUGGUUGGCGUCGCCGAGCGCCGCCUCGCUGAGGUACUUGUCGGCCAGCUGCACGCGCUUGACGUUCUCCUGCUCCGCCACCAGCAUGUGGCCGUACUCGAGCAGCUUCUCCAGCGUCAUCUUGGGCUGCUGGAACGUCGGCGGGCCCUCCCUGGAGUUGACGAGCUUCCGGCCGAUGUUCUCGAUGCCGGUCUCGGCGACCCACCGGCGCACCUCGUCGUCGUACACCCGGGCUCGCAGCGCGCCGAAGAAGUCGAUGGACUGCCCCGGGAAGGUGUCGACGAGCUUCACGACGGCCUCGUCGGGGACGCCGUCGGUGCGGAAGAUGCCCUUGCAGACUCCUAUCCUAUCCUCGCGGGUGGGCGCCCAGUAGAACUUGUCCAUGCGGCCGUCGCGGAUGAGCGGCGCGUACAGCGUGGAGAAGUCGUUGCCGGUGACGACGAUGGGGACACGGGGGUUCUCCUCCUUGUUGUACAUGCCGGGGAGCUGCACGUUGGUGGGGUUGUCGGCGAUGUUCAUCAGGGUGGCGUUCACCAUCUGGUUGUUCACCGUGUACUGCGUGGUGCCGCCCAUGCGCCCGGCGCCGGCGUCGAGGUCGUUGAUGAAGAGCACGCACAUCCUGCCCUUGCUGAUGAUGUCGGCGGCCUCGCGGUAGCGCUGGCGGAUGAGCUUGGCGGGCUCGCCGGCGUUGCCGCUCUCCAGCUCGCCGGCGCUCAUCAUGACGGGGUUGAUGCCCAUCUUGGCGAAGACGAGCUCGCACUGGAAGGACUUGCCCUGGCCCUUGCCGCCCCAGAUGCCCAGGAUGAGGGGCACCUUGAUGUUGGGCAGGGACAUGAAGUUCUUGGCGAUGUGGACCACCAGCUUGUCCAUGAACGCCGGAGCGAUGUAGUAGCCGUCCAUCAUGUUGUCCAGGUUGUACUGACGGAGACCCUGGCUGAGGUACUCGUAGGAGCUGAGCACGGCCUCGUGGGUGCCGUCGCCCAUGGGCGCCUGGAACAGGGAGUCCACCAGGCCCUUGCCGCGAGUGAUGUCCUGCUGGUCGUCGGAGAUGUCGUGGGCGAGGCCCCUCCACCUGUCGCUCUCGGUCUGCUUGGUCUCGUCCACGGCCUCCUUCUUACUAUUGCUGGCCGACGCCGCCAUCGCCAUGACGACGACUCUGCUUCGACGGUGCUGCUUCCUGGUGGUGAUGAGCUUCUUCUUCUUCUUCCCAACGCCGAGGAAGCUGCUCGGCGUCGAGGCCAAAUUUAAAGCAGCAGCAGCAGCCAUCUCGAUCGAUCGAUCUCAAGAUUAUUGGACGUACAAAUUGAAUGGGAUUGAAGAUGAUGACGAUGAGUUGUAGUAUAUAUAGCAGGGUAAAGAUAUGCAGCUGCUAAAUUGAUGAGCAGGCAGUAGCUAGUGUGGUCUGGAUCCUUCCCGAUUGCUCACUGGAUCUCCAGAACGUUAACGAACAAGUGUGCAGUGGUGGCCUGGUGGGUACGUGAGGCUGAUGAGUGGCCAACAUGUUAGUACGUCCAUCCAAACACUGCUAUCCCAGCCUGACAUGCGUACGCUGUCGAUCGGAUGGGCCGCGUGGGCCCCCACCCUGGAUUUAGCAUUUGAGUACCGCUCUAUCCAUCCAUCCUGUUUUAGCACAGCUUUUUUUAAGUGUUUAUAAUAAUUCUUACUAUAUAUCUUGUAUGUCUAAGAAAAAAAAUCAAAACAAACUACAGUUUAAAAUGGAGGGAAUAUUUAGCAAAAAAAAAUAGGCCAUGUUUGGACCGCAUAUACCGGCUCCAGGGAUCGCCAAAAUGAUUGAGCAAGAACCGAGGGUUUACUGAACCCUUGCAUUAACCCUCAAUCUAUGAGCUUAGUGCGCUAAGGUCGUUGGGUUGGGGAAAAAACUCAUCUUUAGUCGUACUUGCAUUGGAUGGUUCUUAGCGAUUUCAAGAUUAGCCGCUAGACGAUCGCAUAACCUUUGAUCUAACGGAUGACCACCGGGAGCCUUGUUUCUACUCUUUUGUCACGUUUUAGAUACUUGAGUCUCGAGGCUUUUGUCAAGAGAGAACGAAUUGAAGGAUCCAUACAGCUUUUACAAAGCAUGAGAAUCGAAAUUGGUGAUCAUCUCCACGGAAGGGGAGAAGACGACAGGGUAUGCAUGGCGAGCUCAGCAGCUGGCUGCAACGAGCUCUCUGCCGCAGCACGCAGCAGCUGGCGUGCUCCUCGAUCUAGAUAGAUUGUAACGUUUUCGUCAGCGCCCCUCGAUGCCGCCCUGGCUCUCCAUCGGAGUUCCUUUCUCCACUUCCGGUCACAUCAAUCUCCAUCGGCGGCUGUGGCUCACGGCUUCGCCGGAGGUGCCGGAGAGUCCAUUUGUCCAGGCCUCGCCGGCGUGGAGCGAGCGAGCGACCGACGACCUGGGGACGUCGGCGUUCACCCGGAACGCCGCGUGGGAGAGGAGAGGCGACAAAGAAAAAAAAAAAAGGGAAGCGUCAAGAGUACUGGUCGUUUUCUCCCUCUAUCUGAGGAGUGUUGAAAAGAAUUAUUGGAAUGGAACAAACCAAAAAAUAUUGAAAAAAAGAAGAUGCAUUUCCAAUACUAGUCGUUUUUUUGGGAAAGAGAGACCUUUUUUUUGAGGGGGGAAAAGAGAGACUGAUGCUCUGAGGAAUUGAGGAAACACAGGUACCAAAAAAAGAAGAGGGAGAAAACACAAGCCGGGCCUUAACGGGCGGCCAGGCUAUGGCCCGCUAAGGCACGGCCCGUUAAGGCCCGCUCGGGGUCCCCAUCCCACCACGCGCCCCUCCCAAGCCCAUGGGUCGUGGCUGGACUUAUGGGGGGAUCAUUCAUGGGGCAGCAGCUUCUCAUUUCUAGGACUCUGUUUCUGAUAUUGUUCCCGCUGCAUCUGCUCAUCCCCAUGGUGAAUGUUGCUGUUGAUCUGUAGAUUGGAUUUGUUGGUCGGUAGUUUGAUUAGAUUUGUGCUGAAUCAUAAUCUCUGCCUGUGAUAUUUUUCUUCAUUGCGGAUGUGUGCCGAGUAUUAUCCCCUUUGUUCAUUCUGUUGGCUUGCUUUCAUUGAUCUUAAGAUAACUGGUGUCAUAAAUUCACACUAGCUGAUGCACUUGCAGAUAGCUAUGUAAAUAUGAAAAAGAAGUAUUUUUUUUUAUCCUUUUGUUUUUUUUGCAUCAUAUCUGUUUAAAGGUACAGCAUUAGGAUUUUUUUUUGUUUCUGGGGAAUCAUAUCUGCUUAAAUGGUAUAGAAAAUGCUGAGCGUACUGUCAAAUAGAUUUUCCAGCAGUCUGCUUUCAGUUGUUUGCCGCGCAUUCACUGGGGAAGCACGCGCCAGGCAUCACCAGGCUCCUCGUGCCCCUGCUCUGCUCCAAGGACUCGGUGCUUCGACGCGCUGCUUUCCCUGUCAUUGUUAUGUUGAUAUUGGUUUACACGUGUCAUUCACCCCAAAUGGUGUUGCAAGGUUGAACCUAUUGUGGGAGGCUUUUGGUUUCCCUUGACCAAGUAUCACUAGUGAUAUCACUGCGUUCUGGUUAUGUAUGAAACACUUGUCUUUUUAAAACCUUUCUGAAUUUAGAAACGAAUUUGAAACCUUGGUUAUUCAUCAUGGGUUCACAGAUUUGUUUUUCUUUAAAAGAAUUGGGAAGUAGCUUUCUUUCUGGGUAUAUGUGGGGAAAUGCAUAUGCAAUCUUUUAUUUAUUGAGGUGACUGUAAAAUUCUUGUCUGACUGAAUAUGCGAUUUCAACCUACAUGCUAUACUUAGGGAAAUUUGUGAAUCUCCUAAUGUGGCUUAUAUGUGUGGAGUCACUUAACCUAUGCACUUGGACCUCCACGUUUUAUGAACCUAAUUUGACAGCCUGCUCGUCUUUUAUUUUCUACCAAUCAGCUAGGAACGAACAUGGUGAUGUUUGCAUCUCUGCCAUCAAUGGCUUACAUGUCAUUAUGUAUCACAUUAGCAAGUCUUGUUUUGUUAUUGGGCGGGAUGACGGGGACACUGGCUGGAAUUAAAUCAAAGUGGUAGAUCACAGGGUAUUCAUUGCCAUGUAUUUCUGCAGUUGCAUGGACUUGCAUCAAACGGACCUCCCUACUUAUGUGAUUGUCCUAUAUGAUCUCCUUUGAUUUCAUUUGCAUAGAGCUAUGUACACUGUAAUCACAUUAGCUAGAACACUCGCUUUUUGCUUCAAAUUUGAAAUUCAUACCAUGAUGGACUUGAACGCUGAAUUUCUUGAUUGCUGAGUUAGUAAUCACAUUGUGGCGCUGCCACAGAAGCUGGACUCUUCAUUGUUGUUGCCUUGUGGGCUGCCGUGUGCAAAGAACAAGAGCGCACGGUAUUAUAAUAGCAGAGCAGAACACAGACAAGCGACAAGGAGCGGAGCAGAGCAGAGCACAGCCAAGCACAAGCAGUAGAGUAGAGCAGAGCAACCGGGAGAGGAGAGGGCACAUAUGCAGAGUAGAGCAGAGCCAAGCGCAAGCAUUCAUGCACUCAAGCAUGCAGCAGAGGUGUAGCAAGGCAAGCACAAGCAGCAGAGCAGAGGGAAGGGAAGGCUGGGAGAUGAAUAGGCGAAUAGUUAGUUACCUGGACAGAGCAGAGGGAAUGGAGAUGAUGCAGAUGCUUCCGGAGACUGGAGAUUUGGAGAGGAACAAGGCCACGUUGUGAACAAGGUCUCCUUUCUCUUCUCUAUUUCCCGUGCAAUACUCGUGCAUAGUGGCUGCCUCAUCCUCCAGGACGCCCACUUCAACCUGAGGCGGGUGCCACAGAUAUCCUGGCUAGGCGACGGCUAUCCCCAGCACGCCCCAGCGCCUUACGAACUAUGAUCCUAAUACUAUAAAUUGUCACGUACUCACCUUGUAAUCUUGUUUCAAGCAUGCUCUAUAUGUCAACCUGUAAGGUUAACUUCGUUUUUCCUUUUCUGGGUAGGGAAGUGGAUAUUGCUGUUAUUUAUGUUAUGUUGAUAUUGGUUUCCACAUGUCAUUCAUCCCAAAUGUGUUGCAAGGUUGAACCUAUCAUCGGAGGAAUUUUUUUCCCUUGACCUUUAUAUCACUACGCUCUGGUUAUGUAUGAAACGCUUGUCUUCUUAAAAACCUUAAUUUAGAAACGAAUUUGAAAUAUUAUCUUCGUUUACAUCCUGUAUAUGUGUUCUCUACCUUUUGUCCUAUAUUACCUUUUGUCCUAUAUGAUCUGCUUUGAUUUCAUUUGUGCAUAGUUUUUUCAAUUCAGACCUGGUGAUUUCUGAGGUUGAUGUGUCACACCCGAUUUUAAGAGUGCAUUAAAUACAUGUGCGCCAGGAUCAAGUUACACACAUGUACGACAUAAGCAAAUAUCAAAGACAGUGCCAUAACGAAAUAAAGAGAGUAUUAAUCAUUAUUACAUGAUCGAAAGUCUCAAAUAAACCACAAAGUCUAUUUAUUAUGCAGCGGAACUCCUAAGAUAGCAACGUCUCCAUAGGCAGCUGACUGAAGAACUGUACGCCUAGAACUUCUCAAAAUUGUGCAGGUACUCCUCCAAAUUAGCUUGGUCUGAAUAGCGGUUUUGCAAGGGUGAGUACAUUUAUGGUUGAUACUCAACAAGUCGUGGGAAACAGUGUAGUGUAAAGCAAAUCAAGGUAUGGCUAAGGCUUAAACAGCAUCAGCUUUUAAUUUAGUUGGUCAAAUUUUAUUAGCAAUUAACUAGAUGUAAGUUUAUACCACCCAAAAUUAAACAAGAACAUGAAUAAAAUAAUAACAUAACCAUAAAUGAAAUGACAAUAAUUUAAAUCCAUCUUUCGAUAGCAUUAUCAUGUGAGCAAUUUUUUCCCCUUGACCUUUAUAUCACUACACUCUGGUUAUGUAUGAAACACUUGUCUUCUUAAAAAUCUUAAUUUAGAAACGAAUUUGAAGCAUUAUCUUCAUUUACAUCCUGUAUAUGUGUUUUCUACCUUUUGUCCUAUAUGAUCUGCUUUGAUUUAAUUUGUGCAUAGUUUUUUCAAUUCAGACCAAUUUCUGAGGUUCAUGUUGUGCUGAUAAGCAGCCUACUAUUCAAUAACACUUUCAUGUGGCAUGUUCAUGUUAGCUAGCUAGAAACACUGUGCUUUUAGCUUCAAAAUUCAAAUUCAUGAUAUUAUGGACAUUGACAAUGAAUUUCUUGAUUGCUAAGCUAUGUACACUGUAAUCAAAUUGUGGGGCUGAUAAAAUAAGUAGCGUUGAGACACAUAACAAUUGAAUCUUAAGCUUCACACAGAAUCUGGACUAGUCAUCCUCAUUCUUGUCAUGCUGGAAAUGUCUUUGAUACAUUUCAAUCACAGGCAAUUGAAUUCGUACUGGGGAGGAUGGCAAUGGUGCGUGAAGAGAGAUCAAUGUGGCAAAUCUCACACUGUUCAUUACCAGGUAUCUCUGAUUUCUGGUUAUUUUAAAUUUACCUUGACAUGUGACUUAUUGAGGUAGUGUAUUUCAUCUAAUGGUAGUUCUGAAUUUAUGGUAACCUUGGAUGGGGUUUGUCACUUUAUCCACGCACGGACUUACAAAGGACAGCAAAUGACUAUUUUUACAGGGCUCCUGUCUAACCAUGGACUAUACUUUAUGUACCCUUUUUUGACAUGGUAAUUUGAGGUUAAUGGAAAAGUAGCAUAUUUUCCCUGUAGUUACCUUGGGUUUACUUUCGCAUUGUUUUUUUACAGAGUUUGCAACCAGUGUUUCAUUAUCAGAUGAACGCAAGCAGAGGGUAUCACUCGUGGAGAGCCUUGGCGUUGCAGAGCAGUCCCACUCCAACUUGUAGAUAGUAUAUAUUCCCUCUGUUCUAAAAUGUAAGGUAUUUUGAUUUUUUUAGAUAUAUAGAUUCUACUAUGCUAACCUGAUAACCCCAUAAUCCAUCCUGAGGAAAAACCAGGCUAAGAAUAAGUGCUUUCAUGACAUUUAAAUGUCCUGGAAAGUCUUGUUUUGUUUAUAUGCUUAAGCAAAGUAGCUCUGGAGGGCAUGAAAGAAAAGCAUCGUGUUGAUGAGUAUUGCUGGAUGUUUAACUAUUAGUAUGGUAUAUUUAACUGAACAAGGCCUAGGACAGCACAAGGAUGGCCUUUAGGACAGCAUUGCUUUCUCGGCCUAAUUGGCGCCUUACAUUUGGCGACCAUACACGGCCCGUUAAGGAAAUUUAUGCCCAAGUUUGCCGAAGCAUUUAAGGCACAAAUGUUUUUGACUUCUGAUGGCCUGUUUUUGACCUCCCAUGGCCCAGUAGCGACCCUAGUUUUUAUCAGCAAUGACCAAAUGUUAGCCCAGUUUUGCCCCAUCUUAGGGUCUAAUCAUGGACCAAUAAAACAUGUGCUAGACUUCAUGGCCACCGGAUGCGUGUUCGGCCACGUAAUCGUGUGCUAUAGCUCACGGGAGGCUGAAAAUGGCCUGAAGGGGCACAGUGGAUGAAAACGUUAGGGACGCUCGGAACACAAGAAAAUGACCACCAGAUACGUGUUUGGCCAUUGUAACUGUGCGCUAUAGUUGAUAGGUCGAAAGCGGCUUGAAGAGGCAUCAGUGAUGGAAACAUGGGGGAUGGUCGGAACACUUGAAAAUGGCACUGGAUAAGUGUGCUUAUUCCUUGCGGGAUGCUGAAAAUGGCUUGGAAGGGUCAUCUAGGAUGGAAACUAGGUGGACAAUAAGUGAAAAUGGGCAGCGGACACGUGUUCGGUCAUGUAACCGUGUGCUAUAGUCCACUAGAGGUCGGAAAACUGCCCUAGGGACUCUAGAGAUGAAAAUGUGAGGAACAGCUGAAAGGUUACGUGUUUGGCCAUGACAGCCCUAUUAGGAAGCGAUAGAAGUGGAAAGAUAGCUGGUUUCAUAUUGGCAUCCCAUCUCUGAACUUUUGCUUCCCCCUUCCCUCCGUAAUCCCGGGGCAUCGAAUUAAAAAGUAUACAAAUCACUUUCAGAUGUAAUUGAGGGUAAAGAGGGGAGGUUUCACGAGACUCUACAAUGUUCAAAUCAUUCGUUCGUUAGGAUGCCUCAGCUUCAUACAUUGUUGCACUUCCACUUGACACCUAUUUAAAUGGUUCGUCUCGCUGCUACAAGGUAUCAUCAGAUAUAGAAGAAUCAGAGACCGGGGGUAAUAGCAAAAAAGGAAUAUAACUCGUCUGAGGAAGUGGGCGCAGGGGCAGUGGGGUAAGGUAAUUGAAGUAACUAGCCAGUUUCUUCCCGAAACUUUCCAAGAAAAAUUCCGAAUUGGAUCCAAAAUUGACGGAUUAAUCAACCAAAAUAACCGUGAGCAGCCACAAUGUUAUAAAUGUUAUAAGUCCCUUCUUCUUGACCAAAUUUGUAACUCUUAUUAGCAGACUCAUUUUUAGUGGUUUCCCUGAUCAAACUAGAGGUUACCAAGGAACCGUGUGCUAUAGCCCACAGAUGCCUGGAAACAGCUAGGAAGGGCUUCGGGGAUGGAAACAACGUGGACGGUCGGAACACGUGAGAAUGACCACGGGAUACAUGUUUGGCCCUGUAACAGUGUGCUAUAGGAAGCCGGAAAUGGCUAGGAGGGUCACCAGGGAUGAAGAUGCAGGGAUGGAUGGAACAUGUGAAAAUGACCACUAGUGGUUAGUGGCAGGUCUAGAGAGAUAUCUCAUCAAAUUGGUGAGUUAUAUCCGGUUUAAACGAGGAUAAAAAUGGGUGUAUUUUCCACUCAUCAUAUUGUCUUUUCGUAGCUGUACCGCCUUUCGUGUGUUGUAUUGUUCCCCAAACACUAAGUCUCCGAGGCUUGAGAAAAUAAGGAAAGUGAUAGCAGCCCAAAAAUUGACCAAGUUUCUUUCCCCCUCUGGCUUUCUACUAGGAUUCAGAAUCCUCUUUUCCAUGACAAUCUUAAUUAUCUCCCAUACUCCAAAACUCACAAAAACAUCAAGAGUCCGCUGAGAAUAAAUUUAAGUAAAAAACAUGCACACAUAGAUCCACAUCCAAUGGCAAGGAAAGGGGCGUCAGACAAAGCCCAAUGGCAACUGCUGACAUGCGAUUAAAUUCAGAUCCACAUCCGGCCAUUCAAUAAUACGGUUGGAGUUGUGGCACAGAUAUAUUAUUGCAUGAUCAUCAAGAUAAGAUCGUACAGUGACUGAGUGAGACAAUAAAUAGCCAAGUAAACUAUUUUAUCCUGCUGCAAGCUGCAUUCAUAAGUUUAUUUCACCUUUGAUCACAAUACUCUUCACACACGUACGUCUCAGGGAGAUCUCACUUCCGCUGGACUGCUCACUUCCGCUGUCGUCGGUACUGCCAAAGACAUAAGCUCACAUCUGCUAUUGCGGAGCAGGCCAAUUUGCUGCGGAACUUCGGCGACGACCUGAAGGACAUGAACUCGGUGCUGGAGUCCAUCUCAGCAGCGCUCUAGGACGCUGACACCGGUAGAAAAACGACCUUCCAUCGUCAACAAAAAUCCCGGUAGCUUUUUUACUCGGUACUAAAGAGGUUUUAAUCUCGUGCAAACACCUUUAGUCCAGAUUGCUAUUACCACGCAACCCGGACUAAAGCGUCCCCCGCGAGUUAGUAUAUAAGGAUUGCAUCCUUUACUCAGUCAGAUAUAAUAUGUAGGUGAGAUGGUAAGGAAGCUAUGCGUGAGGCUUCAGGUUGUGGGUUCGAAUCCAAGUGGGUGCAGCUGUGGCUUAAGCGGCUGAGGCACGCCGCCAUAGACAUCUCAGAUUUGCUCGAAGACUACCAAGACACUAGUGAACCCUUAACAGUAAAGGUGAGUACUUAUGAAUGUCAGCAUCCAUGUUGUCCAUGCUUCCAAUGUAAUAACAAGAUGGACUACUCUUCCUAGCGGACUCUUCACAACCACUCGUAAAGCUAUGCGUUUCUCAAUGCAAUUUCGUAGAAGCCAAUCGAUCCAACCAAGUGACUAAAUCAUUCGUCCUUUCCAAUGAUGUGCAUCAGGUUUUCUAUAUGAAGGGCAUGUCUAGCAAACCUAAGAUUUCAGAAGAAAAAGAAAAAUCAUUGGAGCCAAAGAGCCACAUAGUUCUUCUAGGAAAAAAAUCAUGGGAGUCGAGAACAUAUCAAACCAAUCAGGGGAUUAUGGUCAGCUUAAUGGCAUGCCUCCAUUCGAUGUCGAAGUUCACCCAAGCAUCAUGUUAGCCAAACAUCAAAUGUUCGUGCGUUGUUACGGUAAAGAUCAAUUGUGUUUUUUAAACUCUUGGAAUUUUUUUAUCUAAGUUUUUAUUUACACUUAUUGGAUGUCUACACAUUUGCUAGAAAACUAAAAUAAUUUGGACUUAAUUAUUUCUUUCAACUGAAGUACUCACUAAAUUUCUACCUUUUUAUUUAAGCAAGAGAGUUGCUAAAAAAAAUGGAUACGUAACCAUGUUGUAUCAUACAAAGUAACCACGUUUCACAUAUAGUCCGGCUUAGCAAACACCAUUGUUUUCUGAACAUAGCGUACAUGAGUUAACAGACAUGGAUUUAUUUCUAUUGCAAGUAGCAUAGCGUACAACCUGCCUGCACCGAUGCAGCUCAAUAUGCGAUAAUUUUUAUCUUCCCAUGUAAUUUUUCUACUCUAGUACAUAUUGAACUCCACAUUAAUGUCAUGUUCUUUCGCGCCCCAGAAGGUUCCUAAAGUUUGGAAACUUAAUAGAUAGCCAGAAUUUUUUUUAAAGAUAUUUAUAUGGAUACUUGUAUGUUCUUUCCAAACUAACAAUAUUGUUUACCAAUAUCAGAAGGAAUAUGGUUAGGAGCCAUUGCCGCAUAUGGCAGGUGAUGGUAGAUGGCGUAUGGGGUUUCGUUAAUUUAAUGGUAUAAUAAGCUGAAAUACAUUUUCUAUUUGCAAAUGAAUCAUAGCUGAAAUUGGUGGGAUUGUUUUUUUCGCCGGUUUAGCAUCCUGUGCACCAGUUCAACCGGAGGGAAGCUGUUUUUUUUCUUUGGUUUUCCACCGGUUCACCGAGACCGAUGACAAUUUUAUGGCAGAAUCAUUACUUGUUUUACUAUUAGGUGAAGAUUUUAGCGUUUAGGUAUCUCACAUUAAACGCAACUUCAACAAUCUAUUUCUAGUGUAUAAUGUAGGAGACCCCGUAAAGAGUCUACACACACAUAUAUGUUGACUAUGAAUGUAAGUUUGUUGGUUUUAUGUAUGUUCGUUUGGAGUUUAUGUAAAUUUUACAUUUUAUAGUUUUGUGUAUAUGACGAAGAUCCAUGACUUGCAUUAAUUUAGCCUUUCUUCCAACAACUCUUAUGCAUGCUGUUUCUAGGCGAGCGUACUGGUUGCAAUUUUGGUCCCCGAUAUAGUGUGAGGACUUAAGGGACACGUGCAGGUCGUAACCUUAGAUAUUUUUGCUGAGAAUGGAUGAAGAAGCAAUAAUAUACUUUGCUUCUGAUUUUCUCCAUGUCAUUUGCUUACUCUUAUCCCUUUUAUUUAUCAUUAUAAGAUGAAAAUAUUGUAAAAACUUGGCUACGUGCGGUCGCAGAAGCUAGAGACUAAAGCGUCCCCCACGAGUUACUAUAUAAAAGGAUUGCAUCCUCUACUCAGUCAUAUGUACUGUGUAGGUGAGAUGGUAAGGAAGCUAUGUGUGAGGCUUGAGGUUGUAGGUUCGAAUCCCACGCACCGCGUGCGCAUGCGCAUAUUUUGCGUGAAAAAUCGCAUGACUUGUGGUCGGCCAAGGAGAAGUGCGUGCGGCUGAGGCACGCCGCCAUAGACAUCUCGGAUUUGCUCCAAGACUACCAAGACACUAGCGAACCCUUAACGGCAAAGUUGAGUACUUACGCGUGUUAGCAUCUAUGUUGUCCAUGCUUCCAAUGCAAUAACAAGAAGGGCUACUCAUCCUAGCGGAUUCUUCACAACCACUCGUAAAGCUAUGCGUUUCUCAAUGCAAUUUCGUAGAUGUCAAUCGAUCCAACCAAGCGACUGAAUCAUUCGUCCUUGCUAAUGAUGUGCAUCAGGUUUUCUAUAUGAAGAACAUGUCUAGCAAAUCCAAGAUUUCAGAAGAAAAAUAAAAAUCAUGAGAACCAAAGCACCACGUAGUUCUUCCAGGUAAAAAAAACAAUCAUCCACUGGGAUGACACACAGUAGCGAUCCAAAACGUCCAUAUUAAGACUUUUUGAUAGCAGAAAAAACAUGAAAAUGUCUAAUAUUUGUAGUAUUAAAAGGAAAAAUAAUAUAUUCACUUGACCUUUUUUUCGUAGCAACGCACCGGUGCGUAGUCAGACUUAGGCCACGUUUGGAUACUCCCUACUAAAGUUUAGCACCUGUCACAUAGGAUGUUUGGAUACUAAUUAGGAGUAUUAAACAUAGGCUAAUUAUAAAACUAAUUGAACAGAUGGAGUCUAAUUUGCGAGACGAAUCUAUUAAGCCUAACUAGUCCAUGAUUUGACAAUGUGGUGCUACAGUAACCAUUUGCUAAUGGUGGAUUAAUUAGGCUUAAUAGAUUCGUCUCGCGAAUUAACAUAGGGUUCUGCAAUUAAUUUUAUAAUUAGCUCAUGUCUAGUCCUUCUAAUUAGCAUCCGAACAUCUGAUAUGAUACUGCUAAAGUUUAUCACCUAGUAUCCAAAUACCCCCUUAAUGCACGAUGCCUGUGCAUCCACUGGGCCUACCCUCGUGGAUCACGCGCUCGUGGAUCACGCGCACCAUGACAUGGCUCAUUAGCUAGUCGUGCUAAUCCUUACCACCAAAUUAAAAACUAGCAUGUGUUGUGUGUUUGUGACCCUAAACGACUACCACCUUCCCGAGUCCACCGGAGUUGCCAGUUCACCACUAAGCUGACUCUCCGAGCUUCAUGUCACUGUCACCGCUCCAAAGACCUAGAUCGGUUCGCUGUGCACCCCGCUUCGUCCUGAGCUAAAUCCCAUCACGAAAGGUGACCGGAUGCUCGUUUUCGAGCGAAUUCUAGCGAGAUUGCCACCACCUUUCCCCUUCCAGCCGAUCGCAGCUGUCUGAUCACAAACCGACAGCCCAGAUCGGAUUUGACCAGGUCAAUACCGGUCAAGCCGAGAUGCAUGCUGCUUUUGCAAGAAGGCCCCUAUUUUUCUCUCUUUUUGCACUUGAGGUCCUACGCAGUUCAAAAGUAAUUAGAUCUAGAUCCUUUUUCUUCUGUUUUAGCCCUGUUCUUUUAUAAAAUCCCACCCGCCAUCCUGUUUGGUAUUUUGACAUGUUAGACCUUCUAUUUAUAUGUUUAAUUAGGUUUUAGCCCUUGGUUUCUUUAAGUUUAGCUCUUGGAAGUUUAGUUUUCUCGCAGUUAAGCCCCUGAACCUUGUUUAGUUCAUAUCUUUAGCGUUUUAAAUCCGUUUUAAGAGAUUCUUACGCCCAUAAGUUCGUGUUGAUGCAUAGAUUAGUUGACUUAUACGGACCUUGCUGAUUCAGCUCCUUCAUUGUGCUUCAGAUCUCGCUAGUGAAGAAUAAUGGAUGGGCUUUGGUUGAGCUUGUAGAUCGACCUGCAGUUGCAGUGAAUGUGCUGAGGACUGGCGGUACCAAUAAUGGGAGGCCGCUGCUCUGCUUGCUACCAAGGCCUGCGACGCUUGGACGCCAUUCAGAGUGCAUAAUUUCCAAGGAUCUCAAGGGCUCCACACCACGUUCCAAGUGUUUUUUCUUUGCCGAGUGUUUUUAGCUCGGCACUUGGCAAAGAGCUUGUUUGCCGAGUGUCCGAAAAAAACACUUGGCAAAGAGAAAACACUCGGCAAAUUUGAUGUUUCCCGUAGUGAUGUACUAUUCAAACUUGAACUGGGAUGCAGGCUUCAGUACCAAAGAGAGCUCUGGGCGCGGGUGAGCAGUGAGCUGGCCGGGCAGGGAGCUCCAAAGCGACAGCAACAAAGAGAGAAAUGCUAAGAGUAAGAACGACACACGAGGUCACUUCACAUAGAUAAUAGCAGUACGAACCAUACAAUAUCCUCUCUCAGUUUCACUCCGCCUCACACACGGCUAGCACACCAUGCAUGCCGAUUUCAUAUUAUUAAUAUUAUUUUUUGGAUGGUUGUUGAAACUAUAUAUAUAGUUAGUCCAAUCUCACGUUUCCGAUUAUAAAAAUCAACGUAAAGAGAUCGGUAGGGAGAGCCGGCAUAAUGAAGCCGACGCGUGUAAUAAGCACCAGAGCCGGCAUUUAUACAAACUGGUACGAAUAGUAAAAAACUAGAAUUUAUAAAUAAAAAAAUGAUUUGCACAUCUAUGCAAUAAUUAGGGGUUAGUGGCAGGUCUAGAGAGAUAUCUCAUCAUUAUAUCCGGUUUAACGAGGAUAAAAAAGAGUGUAUUUUCCACUCAUCAUGUUGUCUUUUCGCAGCGGUACCACUUUUCGUGUGUUGUAUCGGUCCCCUAAUACGGAGUCUCCGAGGCCCGAGAAAAUAAGGAAAGUGAUAGUAGCCCAGAAAUCGGCCAAGUUUCUUUCCCCUUUGGCUUUCCUACUAGGAUUCAGAAUCCUCUUUCGCAUGACAAUCUUAAUUAUCUCCCAUACUCCAAAACUCACAAAAACAUCAAGAGUCCGCUGAGAAUAAAUUUAAGUAAAAAACAUGCACACACAGAUAAUAAUAAUAAUCAUGUUUCCAUAAAAUUGCUAAGUCCAGAGAUAAUACAUAAACAUAGUAGACUGUUCAUGACACAUAUCACGGUGGACAGUGUUUGUGUCCUUAUUACAAGCAACGAGAGAUGCUCGUCACCAACACGCGCGCGCACAGAUGCACGACAUACAUAUAGUAGAGACCAACAGAUGGUCGUCCCAUAUGGUGAACAAUUUAUUGGAGAUAAAUAUUAACGUAACUUGGCCAUAGCUUGAAGCAUAGCAACAUAUGCCUAUGAGUGGCAUUCAUGCUAUCGUUUUAGGCUUGUCCAGCUCCUUCCAUCUUAGCAAGCACUUCCAUUUCUACCAUCUUAGCAGCAACUGUCAAAUUGAGAUACGGAAAUCCCAUUAGCGCAUGAGUUAAUUUUGCAGUGGAAAUAGAGUACAAGAUGUCUUCAUGAUGUAAGUAAUAUGCCUGAAGUUGUGAGAUGGGAAGUGAAGUCAACAAAUUACAUUAACGGAAAUGCAUGGAAGGCCACACAUACGUAUUAGUCCAUGAUAUGCUACAAAGCUUGUAUGUACAUAUAGCAAAUUAAAUGCAUUAAUUGAAUAGAGUGUGUUUAGUGAAUUUACCAGAAUCGUCCAGAAAACAUGGGAAACAGCAAGUGUUCUUGCAGACUGCGUCGGAGGCACCCGCACGAAUACAAAGCUGACAACAUAGUUUUGCCUGGGCGGAUGCGCAGCAGCCGCACUCCGCCGCGGUGGGGUUAACAUUGAGGCUCAAGAUGACCAGGCACAUGAUCACCAUCAAAGUGGUAGUCCUCUUUCCCUCCAUUGCCUCCUCUUAGCUUGCUGCUACCUUCCUUGGUUACCUAGCUAAGUUUAUUGGUUUUGUGUUGAGAGGUGUGAUUCUUGAAUGGACGUUGCCGGCGGCAAUUUAUAGGCAGCUGAGCUAUGUGAUGAUAUGGACUAGGUGCAAAUGGGUGGUUAAUGGCAAGGAAAGGGGCGUCAGACAAAGCCCAAUGGCAACUGCUGACAUGCGAUUAAAUUCAGAUCCACAUCCGGCCAUUCAAUAAUACGGUUGGAGUUGUGGCACAGAUAUAUUAUUGCAUGAUCAUCAAGAUAAGAUCGUACAGUGACUGAGUGAGACAAUAAAUAGCCAAGUAAACUAUUUUAUCCUGCUGCAAGCUGCAUUCAUAAGUUUAUUUCACCUUUGAUCACAAUACUCUUCACACACGUACGUCUCAGGGAGAUCUCACUUCCGCUGGACUGCUCACUUCCGCUGUCGUCGGUACUGCCAAAGACAUAAGCUCACAUCUGCUAUUGCGGAGCAGGCCAAUUUGCUGCGGAACUUCGGCGACGACCUGAAGGACAUGAACUCGGUGCUGGAGUCCAUCUCAGCAGCGCUCUAGGACGCUGACACCGGUAGAAAAACGACCUUCCAUCGUCAACAAAAAUCCCGGUAGCUUUUUUACUCGGUACUAAAGAGGUUUUAAUCUCGUGCAAACACCUUUAGUCCAGAUUGCUAUUACCACGCAACCCGGACUAAAGCGUCCCCCGCGAGUUAGUAUAUAAGGAUUGCAUCCUUUACUCAGUCAGAUAUAAUAUGUAGGUGAGAUGGUAAGGAAGCUAUGCGUGAGGCUUCAGGUUGUGGGUUCGAAUCCAAGUGGGUGCAGCUGUGGCUUAAGCGGCUGAGGCACGCCGCCAUAGACAUCUCAGAUUUGCUCGAAGACUACCAAGACACUAGUGAACCCUUAACAGUAAAGGUGAGUACUUAUGAAUGUCAGCAUCCAUGUUGUCCAUGCUUCCAAUGUAAUAACAAGAUGGACUACUCUUCCUAGCGGACUCUUCACAACCACUCGUAAAGCUAUGCGUUUCUCAAUGCAAUUUCGUAGAAGCCAAUCGAUCCAACCAAGUGACUAAAUCAUUCGUCCUUUCCAAUGAUGUGCAUCAGGUUUUCUAUAUGAAGGGCAUGUCUAGCAAACCUAAGAUUUCAGAAGAAAAAGAAAAAUCAUUGGAGCCAAAGAGCCACAUAGUUCUUCUAGGAAAAAAAUCAUGGGAGUCGAGAACAUAUCAAACCAAUCAGGGGAUUAUGGUCAGCUUAAUGGCAUGCCUCCAUUCGAUGUCGAAGUUCACCCAAGCAUCAUGUUAGCCAAACAUCAAAUGUUCGUGCGUUGUUACGGUAAAGAUCAAUUGUGUUUUUUAAACUCUUGGAAUUUUUUUAUCUAAGUUUUUAUUUACACUUAUUGGAUGUCUACACAUUUGCUAGAAAACUAAAAUAAUUUGGACUUAAUUAUUUCUUUCAACUGAAGUACUCACUAAAUUUCUACCUUUUUAUUUAAGCAAGAGAGUUGCUAAAAAAAAUGGAUACGUAACCAUGUUGUAUCAUACAAAGUAACCACGUUUCACAUAUAGUCCGGCUUAGCAAACACCAUUGUUUUCUGAACAUAGCGUACAUGAGUUAACAGACAUGGAUUUAUUUCUAUUGCAAGUAGCAUAGCGUACAACCUGCCUGCACCGAUGCAGCUCAAUAUGCGAUAAUUUUUAUCUUCCCAUGUAAUUUUUCUACUCUAGUACAUAUUGAACUCCACAUUAAUGUCAUGUUCUUUCGCGCCCCAGAAGGUUCCUAAAGUUUGGAAACUUAAUAGAUAGCCAGAAUUUUUUUUAAAGAUAUUUAUAUGGAUACUUGUAUGUUCUUUCCAAACUAACAAUAUUGUUUACCAAUAUCAGAAGGAAUAUGGUUAGGAGCCAUUGCCGCAUAUGGCAGGUGAUGGUAGAUGGCGUAUGGGGUUUCGUUAAUUUAAUGGUAUAAUAAGCUGAAAUACAUUUUCUAUUUGCAAAUGAAUCAUAGCUGAAAUUGGUGGGAUUGUUUUUUUCGCCGGUUUAGCAUCCUGUGCACCAGUUCAACCGGAGGGAAGCUGUUUUUUUUCUUUGGUUUUCCACCGGUUCACCGAGACCGAUGACAAUUUUAUGGCAGAAUCAUUACUUGUUUUACUAUUAGGUGAAGAUUUUAGCGUUUAGGUAUCUCACAUUAAACGCAACUUCAACAAUCUAUUUCUAGUGUAUAAUGUAGGAGACCCCGUAAAGAGUCUACACACACAUAUAUGUUGACUAUGAAUGUAAGUUUGUUGGUUUUAUGUAUGUUCGUUUGGAGUUUAUAUAAAUUUUACAUUUUAUAGUUUUGUGUAUAUGACGAAGAUCCAUGACUUGCAUUAAUUUAGCCUUUCUUCCAACAACUCUUAUGCAUGCUGUUUCUAGGCGAGCGUACUGGUUGCAAUUUUGGUCCCCGAUAUAGUGUGAGGACUUAAGGGACACGUGCAGGUCGUAACCUUAGAUAUUUUUGCUGAGAAUGGAUGAAGAAGCAAUAAUAUACUUUGCUUCUGAUUUUCUCCAUGUCAUUUGCUUACUCUUAUCCCUUUUAUUUAUCAUUAUAAGAUGAAAAUAUUGUAAAAACUUGGCUACGUGCGGUCGCAGAAGCUAGAGACUAAAGCGUCCCCCACGAGUUACUAUAUAAAAGGAUUGCAUCCUCUACUCAGUCAUAUGUACUGUGUAGGUGAGAUGGUAAGGAAGCUAUGUGUGAGGCUUGAGGUUGUAGGUUCGAAUCCCACGCACCGCGUGCGCAUGCGCAUAUUUUGCGUGAAAAAUCGCAUGACUUGUGGUCGGCCAAGGAGAAGUGCGUGCGGCUGAGGCACGCCGCCAUAGACAUCUCGGAUUUGCUCCAAGACUACCAAGACACUAGCGAACCCUUAACGGCAAAGUUGAGUACUUACGCGUGUUAGCAUCUAUGUUGUCCAUGCUUCCAAUGCAAUAACAAGAAGGGCUACUCAUCCUAGCGGAUUCUUCACAACCACUCGUAAAGCUAUGCGUUUCUCAAUGCAAUUUCGUAGAUGUCAAUCGAUCCAACCAAGCGACUGAAUCAUUCGUCCUUGCUAAUGAUGUGCAUCAGGUUUUCUAUAUGAAGAACAUGUCUAGCAAAUCCAAGAUUUCAGAAGAAAAAUAAAAAUCAUGAGAACCAAAGCACCACGUAGUUCUUCCAGGUAAAAAAAACAAUCAUCCACUGGGAUGACACACAGUAGCGAUCCAAAACGUCCAUAUUAAGACUUUUUGAUAGCAGAAAAAACAUGAAAAUGUCUAAUAUUUGUAGUAUUAAAAGGAAAAAUAAUAUAUUCACUUGACCUUUUUUUCGUAGCAACGCACCGGUGCGUAGUCAGACUUAGGCCACGUUUGGAUACUCCCUACUAAAGUUUAGCACCUGUCACAUAGGAUGUUUGGAUACUAAUUAGGAGUAUUAAACAUAGGCUAAUUAUAAAACUAAUUGAACAGAUGGAGUCUAAUUUGCGAGACGAAUCUAUUAAGCCUAACUAGUCCAUGAUUUGACAAUGUGGUGCUACAGUAACCAUUUGCUAAUGGUGGAUUAAUUAGGCUUAAUAGAUUCGUCUCGCGAAUUAACAUAGGGUUCUGCAAUUAAUUUUAUAAUUAGCUCAUGUCUAGUCCUUCUAAUUAGCAUCCGAACAUCUGAUAUGAUACUGCUAAAGUUUAUCACCUAGUAUCCAAAUACCCCCUUAAUGCACGAUGCCUGUGCAUCCACUGGGCCUACCCUCGUGGAUCACGCGCUCGUGGAUCACGCGCACCAUGACAUGGCUCAUUAGCUAGUCGUGCUAAUCCUUACCACCAAAUUAAAAACUAGCAUGUGUUGUGUGUUUGUGACCCUAAACGACUACCACCUUCCCGAGUCCACCGGAGUUGCCAGUUCACCACUAAGCUGACUCUCCGAGCUUCAUGUCACUGUCACCGCUCCAAAGACCUAGAUCGGUUCGCUGUGCACCCCGCUUCGUCCUGAGCUAAAUCCCAUCACGAAAGGUGACCGGAUGCUCGUUUUCGAGCGAAUUCUAGCGAGAUUGCCACCACCUUUCCCCUUCCAGCCGAUCGCAGCUGUCUGAUCACAAACCGACAGCCCAGAUCGGAUUUGACCAGGUCAAUACCGGUCAAGCCGAGAUGCAUGCUGCUUUUGCAAGAAGGCCCCUAUUUUUCUCUCUUUUUGCACUUGAGGUCCUACGCAGUUCAAAAGUAAUUAGAUCUAGAUCCUUUUUCUUCUGUUUUAGCCCUGUUCUUUUAUAAAAUCCCACCCGCCAUCCUGUUUGGUAUUUUGACAUGUUAGACCUUCUAUUUAUAUGUUUAAUUAGGUUUUAGCCCUUGGUUUCUUUAAGUUUAGCUCUUGGAAGUUUAGUUUUCUCGCAGUUAAGCCCCUGAACCUUGUUUAGUUCAUAUCUUUAGCGUUUUAAAUCCGUUUUAAGAGAUUCUUACGCCCAUAAGUUCGUGUUGAUGCAUAGAUUAGUUGACUUAUACGGACCUUGCUGAUUCAGCUCCUUCAUUGUGCUUCAGAUCUCGCUAGUGAAGAAUAAUGGAUGGGCUUUGGUUGAGCUUGUAGAUCGACCUGCAGUUGCAGUGAAUGUGCUGAGGACUGGCGGUACCAAUAAUGGGAGGCCGCUGCUCUGCUUGCUACCAAGGCCUGCGACGCUUGGACGCCAUUCAGAGUGCAUAAUUUCCAAGGAUCUCAAGGGCUCCACACCACGUUCCAAGUGUUUUUUCUUUGCCGAGUGUUUUUAGCUCGGCACUUGGCAAAGAGCUUGUUUGCCGAGUGUCCGAAAAAAACACUUGGCAAAGAGAAAACACUCGGCAAAUUUGAUGUUUCCCGUAGUGAUGUACUAUUCAAACUUGAACUGGGAUGCAGGCUUCAGUACCAAAGAGAGCUCUGGGCGCGGGUGAGCAGUGAGCUGGCCGGGCAGGGAGCUCCAAAGCGACAGCAACAAAGAGAGAAAUGCUAAGAGUAAGAACGACACACGAGGUCACUUCACAUAGAUAAUAGCAGUACGAACCAUACAAUAUCCUCUCUCAGUUUCACUCCGCCUCACACACGGCUAGCACACCAUGCAUGCCGAUUUCAUAUUAUUAAUAUUAUUUUUUGGAUGGUUGUUGAAACUAUAUAUAUAGUUAGUCCAAUCUCACGUUUCCGAUUAUAAAAAUCAACGUAAAGAGAUCGGAAGGGAGAGCCGGCAUAAUGAAGCCGACGCGUGUAAUAAGCACCAGAGCCGGCAUUUAUACAAACUGGUACGAAUAGUAAAAAACUAGAAUUUAUAAAUAAAAAAAUGAUUUGCACAUCUAUGCAAUAAUUAGGGGUUAGUGGCAGGUCUAGAGAGAUAUCUCAUCAUUAUAUCCGGUUUAACGAGGAUAAAAAAGAGUGUAUUUUCCACUCAUCAUGUUGUCUUUUCGCAGCGGUACCACUUUUCGUGUGUUGUAUCGGUCCCCUAAUACGGAGUCUCCGAGGCCCGAGAAAAUAAGGAAAGUGAUAGUAGCCCAGAAAUCGGCCAAGUUUCUUUCCCCUUUGGCUUUCCUACUAGGAUUCAGAAUCCUCUUUCGCAUGACAAUCUUAAUUAUCUCCCAUACUCCAAAACUCACAAAAACAUCAAGAUUCCGCUGAGAAUAAAUUUAAGUAAAAAACAUGCACACACAGAUAAUAAUAAUAAUCAUGUUUCCAUAAAAUUGCUAAGUCCAGAGAUAAUACAUAAACAUAGUAGACUGUUCAUGACACAUAUCACGGUGGACAGUGUUUGUGUCCUUAUUACAAGCAACGAGAGAUGCUCGUCACCAACACGCGCGCGCACAGAUGCACGACAUACAUAUAGUAGAGACCAACAGAUGGUCGUCCCAUAUGGUGAACAAUUUAUUGGGGAUAAAUAUUAACGUAACUUGGCCAUAGCUUGAAGCAUAGCAACAUAUGCCUAUGAGUGGCAUUCAUGCUAUCGUUUUAGGCUUGUCCAGCUCCUUCCAUCUUAGCAAGCACUUCCAUUUCUACCAUCUUAGCAGCAACUGUCAAAUUGAGAUACGGAAAUCCCAUUAGCGCAUGAGUUAAUUUUGCAGUGGAAAUAGAGUACAAGAUGUCUUCAUGAUGUAAGUAAUAUGCCUGAAGUUGUGAGAUGGGAAGUGAAGUCAACAAAUUACAUUAACGGAAAUGCAUGGAAGGCCACACAUACGUAUUAGUCCAUGAUAUGCUACAAAGCUUGUAUGUACAUAUAGCAAAUUAAAUGCAUUAAUUGAAUAGAGUGUGUUUAGUGAAUUUACCAGAAUCGUCCAGAAAACAUGGGAAACAGCAAGUGUUCUUGCAGACUGCGUCGGAGGCACCCGCACGAAUACAAAGCUGACAACAUAGUUUUGCCUGGGCGGAUGCGCAGCAGCCGCACUCCGCCGCGGUGGGGUUAACAUUGAGGCUCAAGAUGACCAGGCACAUGAUCACCAUCAAAGUGGUAGUCCUCUUUCCCUCCAUUGCCUCCUCUUAGCUUGCUGCUACCUUCCUUGGUUACCUAGCUAAGUUUAUUGGUUUUGUGUUGAGAGGUGUGAUUUUUGAAUGGACGUUGCCGGCGGCAAUUUAUAGGCAGCUGAGCUAUGUGAUGAUAUGGACUAGGUGCAAAUGGGUGGUUAAUGGCAAGGAAAGGGGCGUCAGACAAAGCCCAAUGGCAACUGCUGACAUGCGAUUAAAUUCAGAUCCACAUCCGGCCAUUCAAUAAUACGGUUGGAGUUGUGGCACAGAUAUAUUAUUGCAUGAUCAUCAAGAUAAGAUCGUACAGUGACUGAGUGAGACAAUAAAUAGCCAAGUAAACUAUUUUAUCCUGCUGCAAGCUGCAUUCAUAAGUUUAUUUCACCUUUGAUCACAAUACUCUUCACACACGUACGUCUCAGGGAGAUCUCACUUCCGCUGGACUGCUCACUUCCGCUGUCGUCGGUACUGCCAAAGACAUAAGCUCACAUCUGCUAUUGCGGAGCAGGCCAAUUUGCUGCGGAACUUCGGCGACGACCUGAAGGACAUGAACUCGGUGCUGGAGUCCAUCUCAGCAGCGCUCUAGGACGCUGACACCGGUAGAAAAACGACCUUCCAUCGUCAACAAAAAUCCCGGUAGCUUUUUUACUCGGUACUAAAGAGGUUUUAAUCUCGUGCAAACACCUUUAGUCCAGAUUGCUAUUACCACGCAACCCGGACUAAAGCGUCCCCCGCGAGUUAGUAUAUAAGGAUUGCAUCCUUUACUCAGUCAGAUAUAAUAUGUAGGUGAGAUGGUAAGGAAGCUAUGCGUGAGGCUUCAGGUUGUGGGUUCGAAUCCAAGUGGGUGCAGCUGUGGCUUAAGCGGCUGAGGCACGCCGCCAUAGACAUCUCAGAUUUGCUCGAAGACUACCAAGACACUAGUGAACCCUUAACAGUAAAGGUGAGUACUUAUGAAUGUCAGCAUCCAUGUUGUCCAUGCUUCCAAUGUAAUAACAAGAUGGACUACUCUUCCUAGCGGACUCUUCACAACCACUCGUAAAGCUAUGCGUUUCUCAAUGCAAUUUCGUAGAAGCCAAUCGAUCCAACCAAGUGACUAAAUCAUUCGUCCUUUCCAAUGAUGUGCAUCAGGUUUUCUAUAUGAAGGGCAUGUCUAGCAAACCUAAGAUUUCAGAAGAAAAAGAAAAAUCAUUGGAGCCAAAGAGCCACAUAGUUCUUCUAGGAAAAAAAUCAUGGGAGUCGAGAACAUAUCAAACCAAUCAGGGGAUUAUGGUCAGCUUAAUGGCAUGCCUCCAUUCGAUGUCGAAGUUCACCCAAGCAUCAUGUUAGCCAAACAUCAAAUGUUCGUGCGUUGUUACGGUAAAGAUCAAUUGUGUUUUUUAAACUCUUGGAAUUUUUUUAUCUAAGUUUUUAUUUACACUUAUUGGAUGUCUACACAUUUGCUAGAAAACUAAAAUAAUUUGGACUUAAUUAUUUCUUUCAACUGAAGUACUCACUAAAUUUCUACCUUUUUAUUUAAGCAAGAGAGUUGCUAAAAAAAAUGGAUACGUAACCAUGUUGUAUCAUACAAAGUAACCACGUUUCACAUAUAGUCCGGCUUAGCAAACACCAUUGUUUUCUGAACAUAGCGUACAUGAGUUAACAGACAUGGAUUUAUUUCUAUUGCAAGUAGCAUAGCGUACAACCUGCCUGCACCGAUGCAGCUCAAUAUGCGAUAAUUUUUAUCUUCCCAUGUAAUUUUUCUACUCUAGUACAUAUUGAACUCCACAUUAAUGUCAUGUUCUUUCGCGCCCCAGAAGGUUCCUAAAGUUUGGAAACUUAAUAGAUAGCCAGAAUUUUUUUUAAAGAUAUUUAUAUGGAUACUUGUAUGUUCUUUCCAAACUAACAAUAUUGUUUACCAAUAUCAGAAGGAAUAUGGUUAGGAGCCAUUGCCGCAUAUGGCAGGUGAUGGUAGAUGGCGUAUGGGGUUUCGUUAAUUUAAUGGUAUAAUAAGCUGAAAUACAUUUUCUAUUUGCAAAUGAAUCAUAGCUGAAAUUGGUGGGAUUGUUUUUUCGCCGGUUUAGCAUCCUGUGCACCAGUUCAACCGGAGGGAAGCUGUUUUUUUUCUUUGGUUUUCCACCGGUUCACCGAGACCGAUGACAAUUUUAUGGCAGAAUCAUUACUUGUUUUACUAUUAGGUGAAGAUUUUAGCGUUUAGGUAUCUCACAUUAAACGCAACUUCAACAAUCUAUUUCUAGUGUAUAAUGUAGGAGACCCCGUAAAGAGUCUACACACACAUAUAUGUUGACUAUGAAUGUAAGUUUGUUGGUUUUAUGUAUGUUCGUUUGGAGUUUAUAUAAAUUUUACAUUUUAUAGUUUUGUGUAUAUGACGAAGAUCCAUGACUUGCAUUAAUUUAGCCUUUCUUCCAACAACUCUUAUGCAUGCUGUUUCUAGGCGAGCGUACUGGUUGCAAUUUUGGUCCCCGAUAUAGUGUGAGGACUUAAGGGACACGUGCAGGUCGUAACCUUAGAUAUUUUUGCUGAGAAUGGAUGAAGAAGCAAUAAUAUACUUUGCUUCUGAUUUUCUCCAUGUCAUUUGCUUACUCUUAUCCCUUUUAUUUAUCAUUAUAAGAUGAAAAUAUUGUAAAAACUUGGCUACGUGCGGUCGCAGAAGCUAGAGACUAAAGCGUCCCCCACGAGUUACUAUAUAAAAGGAUUGCAUCCUCUACUCAGUCAUAUGUACUGUGUAGGUGAGAUGGUAAGGAAGCUAUGUGUGAGGCUUGAGGUUGUAGGUUCGAAUCCCACGCACCGCGUGCGCAUGCGCAUAUUUUGCGUGAAAAAUCGCAUGACUUGUGGUCGGCCAAGGAGAAGUGCGUGCGGCUGAGGCACGCCGCCAUAGACAUCUCGGAUUUGCUCCAAGACUACCAAGACACUAGCGAACCCUUAACGGCAAAGUUGAGUACUUACGCGUGUUAGCAUCUAUGUUGUCCAUGCUUCCAAUGCAAUAACAAGAAGGGCUACUCAUCCUAGCGGAUUCUUCACAACCACUCGUAAAGCUAUGCGUUUCUCAAUGCAAUUUCGUAGAUGUCAAUCGAUCCAACCAAGCGACUGAAUCAUUCGUCCUUGCUAAUGAUGUGCAUCAGGUUUUCUAUAUGAAGAACAUGUCUAGCAAAUCCAAGAUUUCAGAAGAAAAAUAAAAAUCAUGAGAACCAAAGCACCACGUAGUUCUUCCAGGUAAAAAAAACAAUCAUCCACUGGGAUGACACACAGUAGCGAUCCAAAACGUCCAUAUUAAGACUUUUUGAUAGCAGAAAAAACAUGAAAAUGUCUAAUAUUUGUAGUAUUAAAAGGAAAAAUAAUAUAUUCACUUGACCUUUUUUUCGUAGCAACGCACCGGUGCGUAGUCAGACUUAGGCCACGUUUGGAUACUCCCUACUAAAGUUUAGCACCUGUCACAUAGGAUGUUUGGAUACUAAUUAGGAGUAUUAAACAUAGGCUAAUUAUAAAACUAAUUGAAUAGAUGGAGUCUAAUUUGCGAGACGAAUCUAUUAAGCCUAACUAGUCCAUGAUUUGACAAUGUGGUGCUACAGUAACCAUUUGCUAAUGGUGGAUUAAUUAGGCUUAAUAGAUUCGUCUCGCGAAUUAACAUAGGGUUCUGCAAUUAAUUUUAUAAUUAGCUCAUGUCUAGUCCUUCUAAUUAGCAUCCGAACAUCUGAUAUGAUACUGCUAAAGUUUAUCACCUAGUAUCCAAAUACCCCCUUAAUGCACGAUGCCUGUGCAUCCACUGGGCCUACCCUCGUGGAUCACGCGCUCGUGGAUCACGCGCACCAUGACAUGGCUCAUUAGCUAGUCGUGCUAAUCCUUACCACCAAAUUAAAAACUAGCAUGUGUUGUGUGUUUGUGACCCUAAACGACUACCACCUUCCCGAGUCCACCGGAGUUGCCAGUUCACCACUAAGCUGACUCUCCGAGCUUCAUGUCACUGUCACCGCUCCAAAGACCUAGAUCGGUUCGCUGUGCACCCCGCUUCGUCCUGAGCUAAAUCCCAUCACGAAAGGUGACCGGAUGCUCGUUUUCGAGCGAAUUCUAGCGAGAUUGCCACCACCUUUCCCCUUCCAGCCGAUCGCAGCUGUCUGAUCACAAACCGACAGCCCAGAUCGGAUUUGACCAGGUCAAUACCGGUCAAGCCGAGAUGCAUGCUGCUUUUGCAAGAAGGCCCCUAUUUUUCUCUCGUUUUGCACUUGAGGUCCUACGCAGUUCAAAAGUAAUUAGAUCUAGAUCCUUUUUCUUCUGUUUUAGCCCUGUUCUUUUAUAAAAUCCCACCCGCCAUCCUGUUUGGUAUUUUGACAUGUUAGACCUUCUAUUUAUAUGUUUAAUUAGGUUUUAGCCCUUGGUUUCUUUAAGUUUAGCUCUUGGAAGUUUAGUUUUCUCGCAGUUAAGCCCCUGAACCUUGUUUAGUUCAUAUCUUUAGCGUUUUAAAUCCGUUUUAAGAGAUUCUUACGCCCAUAAGUUCGUGUUGAUGCAUAGAUUAGUUGACUUAUACGGACCUUGCUGAUUCAGCUCCUUCAUUGUGCUUCAGAUCUCGCUAGUGAAGAAUAAUGGAUGGGCUUUGGUUGAGCUUGUAGAUCGACCUGCAGUUGCAGUGAAUGUGCUGAGGACUGGCGGUACCAAUAAUGGGAGGCCGCUGCUCUGCUUGCUACCAAGGCCUGCGACGCUUGGACGCCAUUCAGAGUGCAUAAUUUCCAAGGAUCUCAAGGGCUCCACACCACGUUCCAAGUGUUUUUUCUUUGCCGAGUGUUUUUAGCUCGGCACUUGGCAAAGAGCUUGUUUGCCGAGUGUCCGAAAAAAACACUUGGCAAAGAGAAAACACUCGGCAAAUUUGAUGUUUCCCGUAGUGAUGUACUAUUCAAACUUGAACUGGGAUGCAGGCUUCAGUACCAAAGAGAGCUCUGGGCGCGGGUGAGCAGUGAGCUGGCCGGGCAGGGAGCUCCAAAGCGACAGCAACAAAGAGAGAAAUGCUAAGAGUAAGAACGACACACGAGGUCACUUCACAUAGAUAAUAGCAGUACGAACCAUACAAUAUCCUCUCUCAGUUUCACUCCGCCUCACACACGGCUAGCACACCAUGCAUGCCGAUUUCAUAUUAUUAAUAUUAUUUUUUGGAUGGUUGUUGAAACUAUAUAUAUAGUUAGUCCAAUCUCACGUUUCCGAUUAUAAAAAUCAACGUAAAGAGAUCGGUAGGGAGAGCCGGCAUAAUGAAGCCGACGCGUGUAAUAAGCACCAGAGCCGGCAUUUAUACAAACUGGUACGAAUAGUAAAAAACUAGAAUUUAUAAAUAAAAAAAUGAUUUGCACAUCUAUGCAAUAAUUAGGGGUUAGUGGCAGGUCUAGAGAGAUAUCUCAUCAUUAUAUCCGGUUUAACGAGGAUAAAAAAGAGUGUAUUUUCCACUCAUCAUGUUGUCUUUUCGCAGCGGUACCACUUUUCGUGUGUUGUAUCGGUCCCCUAAUACGGAGUCUCCGAGGCCCGAGAAAAUAAGGAAAGUGAUAGUAGCCCAGAAAUCGGCCAAGUUUCUUUCCCCUUUGGCUUUCCUACUAGGAUUCAGAAUCCUCUUUCGCAUGACAAUCUUAAUUAUCUCCCAUACUCCAAAACUCACAAAAACAUCAAGAGUCCGCUGAGAAUAAAUUUAAGUAAAAAACAUGCACACACAGAUAAUAAUAAUAAUCAUGUUUCCAUAAAAUUGCUAAGUCCAGAGAUAAUACAUAAACAUAGUAGACUGUUCAUGACACAUAUCACGGUGGACAGUGUUUGUGUCCUUAUUACAAGCAACGAGAGAUGCUCGUCACCAACACGCGCGCGCACAGAUGCACGACAUACAUAUAGUAGAGACCAACAGAUGGUCGUCCCAUAUGGUGAACAAUUUAUUGGAGAUAAAUAUUAACGUAACUUGGCCAUAGCUUGAAGCAUAGCAACAUAUGCCUAUGAGUGGCAUUCAUGCUAUCGUUUUAGGCUUGUCCAGCUCCUUCCAUCUUAGCAAGCACUUCCAUUUCUACCAUCUUAGCAGCAACUGUCAAAUUGAGAUACGGAAAUCCCAUUAGCGCAUGAGUUAAUUUUGCAGUGGAAAUAGAGUACAAGAUGUCUUCAUGAUGUAAGUAAUAUGCCUGAAGUUGUGAGAUGGGAAGUGAAGUCAACAAAUUACAUUAACGGAAAUGCAUGGAAGGCCACACAUACGUAUUAGUCCAUGAUAUGCUACAAAGCUUGUAUGUACAUAUAGCAAAUUAAAUGCAUUAAUUGAAUAGAGUGUGUUUAGUGAAUUUACCAGAAUCGUCCAGAAAACAUGGGAAACAGCAAGUGUUCUUGCAGACUGCGUCGGAGGCACCCGCACGAAUACAAAGCUGACAACAUAGUUUUGCCUGGGCGGAUGCGCAGCAGCCGCACUCCGCCGCGGUGGGGUUAACAUUGAGGCUCAAGAUGACCAGGCACAUGAUCACCAUCAAAGUGGUAGUCCUCUUUCCCUCCAUUGCCUCCUCUUAGCUUGCUGCUACCUUCCUUGGUUACCUAGCUAAGUUUAUUGGUUUUGUGUUGAGAGGUGUGAUUCUUGAAUGGACGUUGCCGGCGGCAAUUUAUAGGCAGCUGAGCUAUGUGAUGAUAUGGACUAGGUGCAAAUGGGUGGUUAAUGGCAAGGAAAGGGGCGUCAGACAAAGCCCAAUGGCAACUGCUGACAUGCGAUUAAAUUCAGAUCCACAUCCGGCCAUUCAAUAAUACGGUUGGAGUUGUGGCACAGAUAUAUUAUUGCAUGAUCAUCAAGAUAAGAUCGUACAGUGACUGAGUGAGACAAUAAAUAGCCAAGUAAACUAUUUUAUCCUGCUGCAAGCUGCAUUCAUAAGUUUAUUUCACCUUUGAUCACAAUACUCUUCACACACGUACGUCUCAGGGAGAUCUCACUUCCGCUGGACUGCUCACUUCCGCUGUCGUCGGUACUGCCAAAGACAUAAGCUCACAUCUGCUAUUGCGGAGCAGGCCAAUUUGCUGCGGAACUUCGGCGACGACCUGAAGGACAUGAACUCGGUGCUGGAGUCCAUCUCAGCAGCGCUCUAGGACGCUGACACCGGUAGAAAAACGACCUUCCAUCGUCAACAAAAAUCCCGGUAGCUUUUUUACUCGGUACUAAAGAGGUUUUAAUCUCGUGCAAACACCUUUAGUCCAGAUUGCUAUUACCACGCAACCCGGACUAAAGCGUCCCCCGCGAGUUAGUAUAUAAGGAUUGCAUCCUUUACUCAGUCAGAUAUAAUAUGUAGGUGAGAUGGUAAGGAAGCUAUGCGUGAGGCUUCAGGUUGUGGGUUCGAAUCCAAGUGGGUGCAGCUGUGGCUUAAGCGGCUGAGGCACGCCGCCAUAGACAUCUCAGAUUUGCUCGAAGACUACCAAGACACUAGUGAACCCUUAACAGUAAAGGUGAGUACUUAUGAAUGUCAGCAUCCAUGUUGUCCAUGCUUCCAAUGUAAUAACAAGAUGGACUACUCUUCCUAGCGGACUCUUCACAACCACUCGUAAAGCUAUGCGUUUCUCAAUGCAAUUUCGUAGAAGCCAAUCGAUCCAACCAAGUGACUAAAUCAUUCGUCCUUUCCAAUGAUGUGCAUCAGGUUUUCUAUAUGAAGGGCAUGUCUAGCAAACCUAAGAUUUCAGAAGAAAAAGAAAAAUCAUUGGAGCCAAAGAGCCACAUAGUUCUUCUAGGAAAAAAAUCAUGGGAGUCGAGAACAUAUCAAACCAAUCAGGGGAUUAUGGUCAGCUUAAUGGCAUGCCUCCAUUCGAUGUCGAAGUUCACCCAAGCAUCAUGUUAGCCAAACAUCAAAUGUUCGUGCGUUGUUACGGUAAAGAUCAAUUGUGUUUUUUAAACUCUUGGAAUUUUUUUAUCUAAGUUUUUAUUUACACUUAUUGGAUGUCUACACAUUUGCUAGAAAACUAAAAUAAUUUGGACUUAAUUAUUUCUUUCAACUGAAGUACUCACUAAAUUUCUACCUUUUUAUUUAAGCAAGAGAGUUGCUAAAAAAAAUGGAUACGUAACCAUGUUGUAUCAUACAAAGUAACCACGUUUCACAUAUAGUCCGGCUUAGCAAACACCAUUGUUUUCUGAACAUAGCGUACAUGAGUUAACAGACAUGGAUUUAUUUCUAUUGCAAGUAGCAUAGCGUACAACCUGCCUGCACCGAUGCAGCUCAAUAUGCGAUAAUUUUUAUCUUCCCAUGUAAUUUUUCUACUCUAGUACAUAUUGAACUCCACAUUAAUGUCAUGUUCUUUCGCGCCCCAGAAGGUUCCUAAAGUUUGGAAACUUAAUAGAUAGCCAGAAUUUUUUUUAAAGAUAUUUAUAUGGAUACUUGUAUGUUCUUUCCAAACUAACAAUAUUGUUUACCAAUAUCAGAAGGAAUAUGGUUAGGAGCCAUUGCCGCAUAUGGCAGGUGAUGGUAGAUGGCGUAUGGGGUUUCGUUAAUUUAAUGGUAUAAUAAGCUGAAAUACAUUUUCUAUUUGCAAAUGAAUCAUAGCUGAAAUUGGUGGGAUUGUUUUUUCGCCGGUUUAGCAUCCUGUGCACCAGUUCAACCGGAGGGAAGCUGUUUUUUUUCUUUGGUUUUCCACCGGUUCACCGAGACCGAUGACAAUUUUAUGGCAGAAUCAUUACUUGUUUUACUAUUAGGUGAAGAUUUUAGCGUUUAGGUAUCUCACAUUAAACGCAACUUCAACAAUCUAUUUCUAGUGUAUAAUGUAGGAGACCCCGUAAAGAGUCUACACACACAUAUAUGUUGACUAUGAAUGUAAGUUUGUUGGUUUUAUGUAUGUUCGUUUGGAGUUUAUAUAAAUUUUACAUUUUAUAGUUUUGUGUAUAUGACGAAGAUCCAUGACUUGCAUUAAUUUAGCCUUUCUUCCAACAACUCUUAUGCAUGAUGUUUCUAGGCGAGCGUACUGGUUGCAAUUUUGGUCCCCGAUAUAGUGUGAGGACUUAAGGGACACGUGCAGGUCGUAACCUUAGAUAUUUUUGCUGAGAAUGGAUGAAGAAGCAAUAAUAUACUUUGCUUCUGAUUUUCUCCAUGUCAUUUGCUUACUCUUAUCCCUUUUAUUUAUCAUUAUAAGAUGAAAAUAUUGUAAAAACUUGGCUACGUGCGGUCGCAGAAGCUAGAGACUAAAGCGUCCCCCACGAGUUACUAUAUAAAAGGAUUGCAUCCUCUACUCAGUCAUAUGUACUGUGUAGGUGAGAUGGUAAGGAAGCUAUGUGUGAGGCUUGAGGUUGUAGGUUCGAAUCCCACGCACCGCGUGCGCAUGCGCAUAUUUUGCGUGAAAAAUCGCAUGACUUGUGGUCGGCCAAGGAGAAGUGCGUGCGGCUGAGGCACGCCGCCAUAGACAUCUCGGAUUUGCUCCAAGACUACCAAGACACUAGCGAACCCUUAACGGCAAAGUUGAGUACUUACGCGUGUUAGCAUCUAUGUUGUCCAUGCUUCCAAUGCAAUAACAAGAAGGGCUACUCAUCCUAGCGGAUUCUUCACAACCACUCGUAAAGCUAUGCGUUUCUCAAUGCAAUUUCGUAGAUGUCAAUCGAUCCAACCAAGCGACUGAAUCAUUCGUCCUUGCUAAUGAUGUGCAUCAGGUUUUCUAUAUGAAGAACAUGUCUAGCAAAUCCAAGAUUUCAGAAGAAAAAUAAAAAUCAUGAGAACCAAAGCACCACGUAGUUCUUCCAGGUAAAAAAAACAAUCAUCCACUGGGAUGACACACAGUAGCGAUCCAAAACGUCCAUAUUAAGACUUUUUGAUAGCAGAAAAAACAUGAAAAUGUCUAAUAUUUGUAGUAUUAAAAGGAAAAAUAAUAUAUUCACUUGACCUUUUUUUCGUAGCAACGCACCGGUGCGUAGUCAGACUUAGGCCACGUUUGGAUACUCCCUACUAAAGUUUAGCACCUGUCACAUAGGAUGUUUGGAUACUAAUUAGGAGUAUUAAACAUAGGCUAAUUAUAAAACUAAUUGAACAGAUGGAGUCUAAUUUGCGAGACGAAUCUAUUAAGCCUAACUAGUCCAUGAUUUGACAAUGUGGUGCUACAGUAACCAUUUGCUAAUGGUGGAUUAAUUAGGCUUAAUAGAUUCGUCUCGCGAAUUAACAUAGGGUUCUGCAAUUAAUUUUAUAAUUAGCUCAUGUCUAGUCCUUCUAAUUAGCAUCCGAACAUCUGAUAUGAUACUGCUAAAGUUUAUCACCUAGUAUCCAAAUACCCCCUUAAUGCACGAUGCCUGUGCAUCCACUGGGCCUACCCUCGUGGAUCACGCGCUCGUGGAUCACGCGCACCAUGACAUGGCUCAUUAGCUAGUCGUGCUAAUCCUUACCACCAAAUUAAAAACUAGCAUGUGUUGUGUGUUUGUGACCCUAAACGACUACCACCUUCCCGAGUCCACCGGAGUUGCCAGUUCACCACUAAGCUGACUCUCCGAGCUUCAUGUCACUGUCACCGCUCCAAAGACCUAGAUCGGUUCGCUGUGCACCCCGCUUCGUCCUGAGCUAAAUCCCAUCACGAAAGGUGACCGGAUGCUCGUUUUCGAGCGAAUUCUAGCGAGAUUGCCACCACCUUUCCCCUUCCAGCCGAUCGCAGCUGUCUGAUCACAAACCGACAGCCCAGAUCGGAUUUGACCAGGUCAAUACCGGUCAAGCCGAGAUGCAUGCUGCUUUUGCAAGAAGGCCCCUAUUUUUCUCUCUUUUUGCACUUGAGGUCCUACGCAGUUCAAAAGUAAUUAGAUCUAGAUCCUUUUUCUUCUGUUUUAGCCCUGUUCUUUUAUAAAAUCCCACCCGCCAUCCUGUUUGGUAUUUUGACAUGUUAGACCUUCUAUUUAUAUGUUUAAUUAGGUUUUAGCCCUUGGUUUCUUUAAGUUUAGCUCUUGGAAGUUUAGUUUUCUCGCAGUUAAGCCCCUGAACCUUGUUUAGUUCAUAUCUUUAGCGUUUUAAAUCCGUUUUAAGAGAUUCUUACGCCCAUAAGUUCGUGUUGAUGCAUAGAUUAGUUGACUUAUACGGACCUUGCUGAUUCAGCUCCUUCAUUGUGCUUCAGAUCUCGCUAGUGAAGAAUAAUGGAUGGGCUUUGGUUGAGCUUGUAGAUCGACCUGCAGUUGCAGUGAAUGUGCUGAGGACUGGCGGUACCAAUAAUGGGAGGCCGCUGCUCUGCUUGCUACCAAGGCCUGCGACGCUUGGACGCCAUUCAGAGUGCAUAAUUUCCAAGGAUCUCAAGGGCUCCACACCACGUUCCAAGUGUUUUUUCUUUGCCGAGUGUUUUUAGCUCGGCACUUGGCAAAGAGCUUGUUUGCCGAGUGUCCGAAAAAAACACUUGGCAAAGAGAAAACACUCGGCAAAUUUGAUGUUUCCCGUAGUGAUGUACUAUUCAAACUUGAACUGGGAUGCAGGCUUCAGUACCAAAGAGAGCUCUGGGCGCGGGUGAGCAGUGAGCUGGCCGGGCAGGGAGCUCCAAAGCGACAGCAACAAAGAGAGAAAUGCUAAGAGUAAGAACGACACACGAGGUCACUUCACAUAGAUAAUAGCAGUACGAACCAUACAAUAUCCUCUCUCAGUUUCACUCCGCCUCACACACGGCUAGCACACCAUGCAUGCCGAUUUCAUAUUAUUAAUAUUAUUUUUUGGAUGGUUGUUGAAACUAUAUAUAUAGUUAGUCCAAUCUCACGUUUCCGAUUAUAAAAAUCAACGUAAAGAGAUCGGUAGGGAGAGCCGGCAUAAUGAAGCCGACGCGUGUAAUAAGCACCAGAGCCGGCAUUUAUACAAACUGGUACGAAUAGUAAAAAACUAGAAUUUAUAAAUAAAAAAAUGAUUUGCACAUCUAUGCAAUAAUUAGGGGUUAGUGGCAGGUCUAGAGAGAUAUCUCAUCAUUAUAUCCGGUUUAACGAGGAUAAAAAAGAGUGUAUUUUCCACUCAUCAUGUUGUCUUUUCGCAGCGGUACCACUUUUCGUGUGUUGUAUCGGUCCCCUAAUACGGAGUCUCCGAGGCCCGAGAAAAUAAGGAAAGUGAUAGUAGCCCAGAAAUCGGCCAAGUUUCUUUCCCCUUUGGCUUUCCUACUAGGAUUCAGAAUCCUCUUUCGCAUGACAAUCUUAAUUAUCUCCCAUACUCCAAAACUCACAAAAACAUCAAGAGUCCGCUGAGAAUAAAUUUAAGUAAAAAACAUGCACACACAGAUAAUAAUAAUAAUCAUGUUUCCAUAAAAUUGCUAAGUCCAGAGAUAAUACAUAAACAUAGUAGACUGUUCAUGACACAUAUCACGGUGGACAGUGUUUGUGUCCUUAUUACAAGCAACGAGAGAUGCUCGUCACCAACACGCGCGCGCACAGAUGCACGACAUACAUAUAGUAGAGACCAACAGAUGGUCGUCCCAUAUGGUGAACAAUUUAUUGGAGAUAAAUAUUAACGUAACUUGGCCAUAGCUUGAAGCAUAGCAACAUAUGCCUAUGAGUGGCAUUCAUGCUAUCGUUUUAGGCUUGUCCAGCUCCUUCCAUCUUAGCAAGCACUUCCAUUUCUACCAUCUUAGCAGCAACUGUCAAAUUGAGAUACGGAAAUCCCAUUAGCGCAUGAGUUAAUUUUGCAGUGGAAAUAGAGUACAAGAUGUCUUCAUGAUGUAAGUAAUAUGCCUGAAGUUGUGAGAUGGGAAGUGAAGUCAACAAAUUACAUUAACGGAAAUGCAUGGAAGGCCACACAUACGUAUUAGUCCAUGAUAUGCUACAAAGCUUGUAUGUACAUAUAGCAAAUUAAAUGCAUUAAUUGAAUAGAGUGUGUUUAGUGAAUUUACCAGAAUCGUCCAGAAAACAUGGGAAACAGCAAGUGUUCUUGCAGACUGCGUCGGAGGCACCCGCACGAAUACAAAGCUGACAACAUAGUUUUGCCUGGGCGGAUGCGCAGCAGCCGCACUCCGCCGCGGUGGGGUUAACAUUGAGGCUCAAGAUGACCAGGCACAUGAUCACCAUCAAAGUGGUAGUCCUCUUUCCCUCCAUUGCCUCCUCUUAGCUUGCUGCUACCUUCCUUGGUUACCUAGCUAAGUUUAUUGGUUUUGUGUUGAGAGGUGUGAUUCUUGAAUGGACGUUGCCGGCGGCAAUUUAUAGGCAGCUGAGCUAUGUGAUGAUAUGGACUAGGUGCAAAUGGGUGGUUAAUGGCAAGGAAAGGGGCGUCAGACAAAGCCCAAUGGCAACUGCUGACAUGCGAUUAAAUUCAGAUCCACAUCCGGCCAUUCAAUAAUACGGUUGGAGUUGUGGCACAGAUAUAUUAUUGCAUGAUCAUCAAGAUAAGAUCGUACAGUGACUGAGUGAGACAAUAAAUAGCCAAGUAAACUAUUUUAUCCUGCUGCAAGCUGCAUUCAUAAGUUUAUUUCACCUUUGAUCACAAUACUCUUCACACACGUACGUCUCAGGGAGAUCUCACUUCCGCUGGACUGCUCACUUCCGCUGUCGUCGGUACUGCCAAAGACAUAAGCUCACAUCUGCUAUUGCGGAGCAGGCCAAUUUGCUGCGGAACUUCGGCGACGACCUGAAGGACAUGAACUCGGUGCUGGAGUCCAUCUCAGCAGCGCUCUAGGACGCUGACACCGGUAGAAAAACGACCUUCCAUCGUCAACAAAAAUCCCGGUAGCUUUUUUACUCGGUACUAAAGAGGUUUUAAUCUCGUGCAAACACCUUUAGUCCGGAUUGCUGUUACCACGCAACCCGAACUAAAGCGUCCCCCACGAGUUACUAUAUAAGGAUUGCAUCCUUUACUCAGUCAGAUAUAAUGUGUAGGUGAGAUGGUAAGGAAGCUAUACGUGAGGCUUCAGGUUGUGGGUUCGAAUCCAAGGAGAAGUGGGUGCAGCUGUGGCUUAAGCGGCUGAGGCACGCCGCCAUAGACAUCUCAGAUUUGCUCGAAGACUACCAAGACACUAGUGAACCCUUAACAGUAAAGGUGAGUACUUAUGAAUGUCAGCAUCCAUGUUGUCCAUGCUUCCAAUGUAAUAACAAGAUGGACUACUCUUCCUAGCGGACUCUUCACAACCACUCGUAAAGCUAUACGUUUCUCAAUGCAAUUUCGUAGAAGCCAAUCGAUCCAACCAAGUGACUAAAUCAUUCAUCCUUUCCAAUGAUGUGCAUCAGGUUUUCUACAUGAAGGGCAUCUCUAGCAAACCCAAGAUUUCAGAAGAAAAAGAAAAAUCAUUGGAGCCAAAGAGCCACAUAGUUCUUCCAGGAAAAAAAAAUCAUGGGAGUCGAGAACAAAUCAAACCAAUCAGAGGAUUAUGGUCAGCUUAAUGGCAUGCCUCCAUUCGAUGUCGAAGUUCACCCAAGCAUCAUGUUAGCCAAACAUCAAAUGUUCGUGCGUUGUUACGGUAAAGAUCAAUUGUGUUUUUUAAACUCAUGGAAUUUUUUUUCUAAGUUUUUAUUACACUUAUUGGAUGUCUACACAUUUGCUAGAAAACCAAAAUAAUUUGGACUUAAUUAUUUCUUUCAACUGAAGUACUCACUAAAUUUCUACCUUUUUAUUUAAGCAAGAGAGUUGCUAAAAAAAAUGGAUACAUAACCAUGUUGUAUCGUACAAAGCAACCACAUUUCACAUAUAGUCCGGCUUACCAAACACCAUUUUUUACUGAACAUAGCGUACAUGAGUUAAGAGACAUGGAUUUAUUUCUAUUGCAAGUAGCAUAGCGUACAACCUGCCUGCACCGAUGCAGCUCAAUAUGCGAUAAUUUUUAUCUUCCCAUGUAAUUUUUCUACUCUAGUACAUAUUGAACUCCACAUUAAUGUCAUGUUCUUUGGCGCCCCAGACGGUUCCUAAAGUUUGGAAACAAAAUAGAUAGCCAGAAAUUUUUUUAAAAAAUAUUUAUAUGGAUAUUUGUAUGUUCUUUGCAAACUAACAAUAUUGUUUACCAAUAUCAAAAGGAAUAUGGCUAGGAGCCAUUGCCGCAUAUGGCAGGUGAUGGUAGAUGGCGUAUGGGAUUUCGUUAAUUUAAUGGUAUAAUAAGCUGAAAUACAUUUUCUAUUUGCAAAUGAAUCAUAGCUGAAAGUGGUGAGAUUGUUUUUUCGCCGGUUUAGCAUCCUGUGCACCGGUUCAACUGGAGGGAAGCGGUUCACCGAGACGGAUGACAAUUUUACGGCAGAAUCAUUACUUGUUUUAUUAUUAGGUGAAGAUUUUAGCUUUUAGGUAUCUCACAUUAACAAUCUGUUUCUAGUGUAUAAUGUAGGAGACCCGUAAAGAGUCUACACACACAUAUAUAUGUUGACUAUGAAUGUAAGUUUGUUGGUUUUAUGUAUGUUCAUUUGGAGUUUAUAUAAAUUUUACAUUUUAUAGUUUUGUGUAUAUGACGAAGAUCCAUGACUUGCAUUAAUUUAACCUUUCUUCCAACAACUCUUAUGCAUGCUGUUUCUAGGGGAGCGCACUGGUUGCAAUUUUGGUCCCCGAUAUAGCAUGAGGACUUAAGGGAGACGGGCACGUCGUAACCUUAGAUAUUUUUGCAAGAAGCAAAUUAUACUUUGCUUUUGAUUUUCUCCAUGCCAUUUGCUGACUCUUAUCCCUUUUAUUUAUCAUUAUAAGAUGAAAAUAUUGUAAAAACUUGGUUACGUGCGGUCGCAGAAGCUAGAGACUAUUUCUUUUUUUAAAAAUACGCAAGAGGGAGAAACUUGGUAACAGCUAGACAGUGAAGAUCGCAUUUCAUAAGAAAGAUGGUGCACGUUCUUGUUUGGCUGUUAACGAAAUGACUUCGUUUCACCACACCACCAGAGAGCCCCAUUGCACUUGCAGCAAAAGCGUGGAGCCGCUUUCAACCAGCGUGCAAUAAUGCAGUCCCGCGUGUCUUGGUCUUACAGGAUAUUUGGUUCUUUAGUCCGGACUAAAAUUCAUGUCGCAUAGAAUAUUCAGAUGUUAAAUAGGAGGACUAAACAUGAGCUAAUUAUAAAAAUAAUUACACAAAUGGAGGCUAAUUCCCAAGACAAAUCUAUUAAGUCUAAUUAAUCCAUCAUUAGCACAUGUUUACCGUAGCACCGUAUUGUCAAAUCAUGGACUAAUUAGGCUUAAUAAAUUCGUCUCGCAAGUUAGUCUCCAUCUAUACAAUUUGUUUUAUAAUUAGUCAAUGUUUAAUACUCUAUCUAAACAUUCAAUGUGACUGAAAUUUUAGGAGGUCCUAAAGAACCAAACACCCCUUAGUCUCCGCCUGAACUAUAGCAGGUGCUGGCAGCGGUAGCAGGGUCGUCCAUUAUAUCUAUGGAUGGAAAUGAUCUGAUUCGGAUGGAAUCGAAUUCGAAUAGCACUUUUUACCACAUACUAAUCUGAAUUGGAUGUUCUCGAAUGUGAAUGCAAAACGGAUAGUUCAAAUUUGAAUACUUUGCGGAUUUUUGCAUAAUAUUAAUCGAAGAGAAUUUGUUAAAUUUAGCCGAGACAUAAAUUUUUCUAAAUUCAAAUACUUUGCAGAUUUUCGAAUGCAAAUUUUUUCAUACGAUCUCGGUUGAAUACAAACUUUAUAUCAAAGUUGUAUAUUUAGAUUAUAUAUAAAACUUUGUAGUUGACCUCCUUUUCAUUUAAAAUUUUUUAAUAGCUCAAAACAUUAUUCUAAGCUUUCUAAUUUCAAAAUCUUGAAUUUUAAAUUUUUCAAACGACCUCGGAUGCAAACAAGCUCUAUAUCAAAGUGCUUAAUGAGAUAUAAAAUUUUGUAGUUGACAAGUUUUUUAGUUGAAAACAUUUAGUUAUCACAAACAUACAAGUUCUUCAUUUGAUGUCGAGGAUUGGAAGUGUUGAGUUUGAAGAAUAUAUUCUUUGAUUACAAACUUUUCCAUAUGAUCUUGGAUGAAUACGAACUUUAUUUCAAAGUUGCAAAUUUAGAUUAGACCAAAAACAGUAUAGUUUACAAUUUUUUCAUUCAAAAUUAUUUAGUAGCUCAAAAUGUUAUUCUAAACUCUCUAAUUUUGAAAUCUUGAAUUUUAAAAUUUUCAAAUGACCUCGGAUGCAAACAAGCUCUAUAUCGAAGUGGUAGUUCUUAAUGAGAUAUAAAAUUUUGUAGUUCCAUCUGAGAUCAUUUAACAGUCACAAAUAUACAAGUUUUUCAUAUGAUGCUAAGGAUCAGAAAGAUUAAGUUUGAAGGCUGUAUUUUUUUAAUACAAAUUUUUGCAUACGAUCUCGGAUGAAUACAAACUUUAUAUCAAAAUUGUAGAGCUCGAUGAGAAUUUAAACUUUGUAGUUGAUAUAUUUUUCAUUCGAGAAUGUUUAGUGGUCCAAACAUGUAUUAUAAGUUCAGAGAAGAAACACACAAUCGGCCACGUCAUCAAUUGACAACUUCCAAACUGAGCAUUCCUAUUGGUUCACACCUUUCCCUUUCAACUCGUCAAGCUUAUCUCCUCCCACUCCUCCAUCGUUCACUCCCCCUUCCCCUUCCUCUCUCCCUCCCUCCCUCCGCUCCAGCAGUGGCAGCCCGACCUGCCUCCUAGGACGGUGGUGUGCGGGGCUCGGGCAUCCCUGGCCUCUAGUGGCGUGGCAGGGCGGCCUCCAGCAGCGAUGGCGGAACUCGGCCUCCGGUGGCGCACAGGCAGCGCAGCCUACCUGGUCAAAGGCGGCGCAACAGGGCGACCUCCCCAGCCUCCGGCGGCGCGCAGGGCAUCCAUGACCUCCCCGGCCUCCCUUGCCAGAGGUGGUGCGCGGGGCUGCGCCGACCUCCCCAACCAGAGGUGGCAAGGCCCCAGCUUACGGCGGCGCGUGGCUCCCCAGCUAGGGUGUGGUGGGGCGGCGGCAAGUCAGGCGUGGCCGCGUGGGGGUGGGGGGAGGGGGUUGGGCUGGGCGGAUUCAGAUAGUAUCCAUUUAACCAUCCGAAAUGUGGAUAUCCGUUUAACAAUCCGUUUAGCAAAACCGAAUUUGGAUACUUCCACUUAAGUAUCCAACUAGGAUUCGAAUGCGGAUGGUCCUACCAUAUUGUUAUUUCAGCGGAUACGAAUAUGGGAUAAUUCGAAUAACGACUUACCCAUCCCUGAUUAUAUCCGUGUAAAUAAAUAAUUGCGGCAGCAGGUUCCCGUCGCCACGCCCCCGUCAAACCAAACAAUUGCUUGCGCGACACCGUGUUACUAGAUCUUGUACAGUACUCCCUCCGUUGCAGUACUCCCUAAUGAAAGUUGAGAAUCGAUCGACAACCACGGCUAGUUGCUAUGCACUCGAUCAGAUGGUCCAGGCGCCCGCUGGUAAUCAGGUCGUGGUUCACGCGCAUCAGGCCAGCUAUGACGUUGCCAGCAGUGCUCAGUACACAAAUCUAGCUAUCAGUCGGAUCCAAUUGGGCAGGCAUUUGCACUGUGGUUGUGUUUGAACCUGUAGAUGUCGUUGUCAUUAUCAGGCACCAUACAUCCUCUCUCAGAGGGUGUUUCACCCCCUAAACUUUAGCCCCUCUCACAUCGAAUGUUUUAGAUACUAAUUAGGAAUAUUAAACAUAGAAAAUUUACUAAACCCAUUACAUGGAUGGAGGGUAAACGGCGAGACAAAUCUAUUAAAUCUAAUUAGUCCAUGAUUUGACAAUGUGCUGCUAUAGUAACUAUUUGCUAAUGAUGGAUUAAUUAGACUUAAUAGAUUUUUCUUGCUGUUUAGCCUCCGUCUGUGCAAUUAGUUUUAUAAUUAAUUCAUAUUUAGUCCUCCUAAUUAGUCUCCGAAUAUUUGAUGUGACACGGACUAAACUUUAGAUAGCACACCAGGGACCGACACCAUGCAUGCUGAUUUCAUAUCAUAAUUAAGGAAAGUGAUAUCAUAAUUAAGGAAAGUGGUAGCAUCCAAGAAAUCGAUCAUGUUUCUUCCCCCUUUGGCUUUCCUACUAGGAUUUGGAUAGCGGGCCUUCCUACUAGGAUUUGGAAUCCGCUAUCGCAUGACUAUCUUAAUUAUGUCCCAUAGUCCAAAACUCACAAAACAUCAAAAAUCCAUCGAGAAUAAAUUAAGUAAAAAACAUGCGCACACAGAUAAUAAUAAUAAUAAUCAUGUUUCAAUAAAAUUGCUAAGAUUAGAGAUAGUACAUAAACAUAUUAGAUUGUUCGUGACACAUAUCAUGGUGGAUAGUGUCUGUGUCCUUAUUACAAGCAGCGAUAGAUGCUUGUCACCACACACACGCACGCACAGAUGCACGACAUACAUAUAGUUGAGACCAACGGAUGGACGUCCCAUAGGGUGAAUAAUUUAUUGGAGAUAAAUAUUAACAUAACUUGGCCAUAGCUUGAAGCAUAGCAACAUAUGCUUAUGAAUGGCAUUCAUGCGGGUAGCAAUGCUAUCAUAUGCUUUUAGGCUUGUCCUUAGCUUCUUCCAUCUUAUAGCAAACACUGCCAUUUCUUCCAUCUUAGCAGCAACUGUCAAAUUAAUUGAGAUAUGGAAAUCCCAUUAGCGCAUGAGUUAAUUUUGCAGUGGAAAUAGAGUAGAAGAUGUCUUCAUAAUGUAAGUAAUAUGACUCUGACAUAGGGAGUGAAGUCAACAAAUUACAUUAACGGAAAUGCAUGGAAGGCCACGCAUAUGUAUUAGUCCGAUAUGCUACAAAGCUUGUAUGUACAUAUAAUAAAUUAAAUGCAUUGAAUAGAGUGAUUUUAGUGAAUUUACCUAAAUCGGAUUAAAAAACAUGGGAAACAACAAGUGUUCUUGUAGGGCUUUGUUUAGUUCCCAAAUUGGGAGUAGCAAAGUUUGCAUUUUACCAUAAAUGCGCAACUAUAGCAUGUAGCAUUUUGUUUGUAUUUGUGAAUUAUUAUCCAAACAUUGACUAAUUAGGCUCAAAAGAUUCAUCUCGCAAAGUACAACAAAACUGUGCAAUUAGUUUUUGAUUUCGUCUACAUUUAGUACUCCGUGCAUGUACCGCAAGUUUGAUGUGAUGGGGAAUCUUGCUUUUCAAUAGUGACAAAGUUGGGAUUUCGGGGGGAAGGCCUGUGUCGGAGCCACAUGCAAGAAUGGCUGACAUUGAGGCUCAGACAAAGCCCAAUGGCAACUGCUGACAUGCGAUUAAAUUUAGAUAUCCACAUCCAGCCAUUCACAUUUAUGAGAUAUGGACACGGUGCAAAUGGGUGGGGUCCUGAUAUGGAGGUGCGAAUGGCUGUCUACUUGUAUAGUGUAGCUCCAAUGUACGUAUAUGUAUCUUAUGCAUGUAUACAGUUGCACAAACUCUGAACCAACUCUUCAUAACAGGUCUUUGUUACCAAGUAACUUUACUUUUGCACGUUUCAGCCGAGAGGUAGAAGAGAAUAUUUUUGCAUUUUCCAUGUGCGUCAGUGGUAGAGAACUAGGAAUUAGUUCCGGAUGGUAGGGCACAAAUCUUCCAAACAACUAUCCGAAAUUAAGCAAUCGAGAUAAAGGGUGCCAUCUAUUCUCUCCGAAAAACACAGGUACCAAAAAGAAGAAGAGAAGAGGGAGGGCCUCCCGUUAAGGCCCGCUCGGGGUCUCCAUCCCACCACGCGCCCUCCCAACCCAAAGCCCAUCGUUUUCCCUCCGUCCCUCCCCUCUCCAUUGCCGCCGCCGCUCCCCUCAUCCGAGCUCGAUACGGGUGGUCGGCGGCCCCUCCUCUCCGCUCCCGCCCCCGGCCUCCCUUUGACCGCCGGGCGCCGGCAUCACUGCCGCGGCCAACCCCAGGGCGCAGCGCGUGCCUCUAUUUCUCUCCCCCGUUCAAGGGCCCUUUGAUGGCGACGAGCACCCACCCACCAGGUAUGCCCUCCCCUUCUCUUCCUAACCCUAAUAUAUUCGGAUCUCACCCAGUCACAAUAUAUUACCUAAUAGCUUCGAUUUUGUUUGCAAAAAUCAUCACGUGCGCACCCAUGUCCGCUAGAUUCUUGCGCCUGAUCCUGUGCUGCUAUGGUUUGGGCGGGGUAGACUAGUUGAUUCGUGCACUUUUGGGUGCUUGUAGUGCUAGGUUUUGGAGGGGGAUAGCCCAGUUGAUUCCUCCGUUUUGGGUGCUCAUGGUGAUAGGAUUUGGAUGGGGAUAGCCCCAAUGAUUCGUGCGCCUUUGGGUGCUGGGGAUAGUUUUGGGUGCCUGGAUAGUCCAGUUUCAAUGUCAGUAUAUGCGUAUUUUGGGGAGAAUUUUGUUUUGGGUGGUUCUGGUGCUAGAGUUUCUGAUGCUUAGUAGCCCAGUUUCAAUCAAAUUCCCCCAUGGGUCGUGCACUACGGGAAACAAGAAAAUUGCCGAGUGUAUUUUUUUUGUCGAGUGUUUUUUUUCGAGCACUCAGCAAACAAGCUCUUCGCCGAGUGCCAAGUCAAAAACACUCGGCAAAAAAAAACACUCGGCAAAUCGGGGCUUUGCCGAGUGUCAAAUAAAAAACACUCGGCAAAGAAGGGGGUUUGCCGAGUGUUAAAAAAAACACUCGGCAAACAGGAGGGUUUGCCUAGUGUUUUUUUGACACUCGGCAAAAAAAUAAUUGUUUUUCCUCUUUUCACCUUGAAAUUUUUUCUACUCCCCACAUACAACACGUGGUACUCCAUGUUAAAAUUUGGUAUAUUUUUGGAUUUAUUUGCUAUAUUUAUUUAAUUAAUUGCAUUACAAGGAAAUUUUUGGUAUAAGUCAAAUUUGAACUGCAAGUGAUUCAAAUUGUGGAACAAAAUGAGUAGAAAAAUGAUAUUCAUGUUAUUUGGCUCAAUUUGAGACCUGACCCAUGAAAUGAAAAGAAAUUUCGAACAUCUUGUUCAGGAAACACGACAAUGAACAUGUGGCGGUAGUAUUUUUAAAUUGUAAAAAAAACAAGCAAAGUCUGAAAAUCAUGAGAUUUGUAGUUAUGUGAUGAUAUAAUACGUGGAAGCUGUGGAAAAAAAUUGGAAAGGUUUUGCACAUUUCAUCAUGUACGAUGAUUACAAACCGAAGCAUAUCAGAAGAAGAAUAGUAACUUUGAGAAGGAUUCGAUAAAAUUUAGAGUCGAAGUGACGGUCGAGUUCGGUUUGACUACAAAACUUUUUGUAUAGUCAGUAGAGAACAUAUCUUAUUUCGUGUGAAAAUUUGGUAUUUUUUGAAACUGUUGGAUAUUUUUAAUUUUUUUUUAAAAAAACUUUGCCGAGUGUCCUAGGGUAGACACUCGGCAAAGAAAAACUUUACCGAGUGCCCGCCUAGGACACUCAGCGAACCUUUUUUUAAACCUACCGGCUCCGGCCGGCCCAGCCCACAAACACCACCCGCCCCCCGCCCCCGCGCCUUCUUCCUCACGCCGCCCCCGCCCCCCACCCGUGCCUCCGGACCGCCCCCUCCUCCCCCUGGCCUCCCCUCACGCCGCCCCCCUCCUCCCCUAGCUCCCUCCACCGGCGGCCCUCCCUCCCCCGGCGCACAUCCUCCACUCCUCCUCCCCUUCCCUUCCCUCCCCUCCCCUCCCCUCUUCCUCCCCUGGCCGGAUCUGGCGCCCCUAGCUCCCCUUUCUUCCGCGGCCAGAUCUGGCGCCCUCCCGGCGGCGGGUCGUGGCGAUCGGGGCGGCGGCGGCGGAUCAGGCCGCGGGGCGGCGGCGGCGGCGGGUCGUGGCUACCGGGGCGGCGCCCUGCCCCUCCCCUCCCUCUCCAUCUCCGGCUGCCGUCCACCCCCUCCCCGGAUCCGCCCCCCUCCCCUCCGCGCGGCCAGCCCCUCCUCCCUCUCCGGCCGCCGCCCCGGCCCCUCCUCUCCCUUUCUCCGGCCACCGCCCCGCCCAUCUUCUCUGGAUCCGGCCGGAUCCGGCCGCCGCACAGCCCCUCCUCCCCGGAUCCGGUGGGCGCGGACUUCGUGGUGGUGGCGCCGGAUCCCUCCCCUCCCUCUCCAGAUAACUCCCUCCACUCCUCCGCUCUUCCCCUCUCUCGCGCGGCGGCCUCUCUCCGGCCGCCGCCCCGCCCCUCUCCCCGGAUCCGGGGGGGGGGGGACUCCGCCCCUCUGCCCCGGAUCCAGCUCCCCGACCCGCGAGUGGGGCGAGCUUGCUCAUGCGGUCGACGUCGAGGCCAGGGUGUGGUGGAGGUGGUGGCCGGCGGGUGUGGUGGUGGUGGCGGCGGCGGGCAUGGCGGCGCGGAGGCAAGGCACGGCGGCCGGUGGGAGGCACGGGUGCAAGGCGUCGACGGCAGGAGGCAAGGCACGGCAGCAUGGGAGGUGGUGCUGUGGUGGUGGUGCUGGCGGUGGUGGCGGCGGCGGAGCAGGAUGUGGUGGUGGCGGAGGAUGUUUUUUUUUCAAAAAUUUGUUGCCGAGUGUUUUCUCGGCACUCGGCAAAGACUUUACCGAGUGCCCGACACAAAACACUCGGCAACUCAGUGUUUGCCGACUGAAAAAUUGCCGUGUGCCGUUUGCCGAGUGUUACACUCGGCAAACGGUUCGCCGAGGGUUUUUUGCCCUUCGCCGAGUGCCCCUAGCACUCGGCAAUUUCACUAUCUCCCGUAGUGGUGGCUGGACUUAUGGGGGGAUCAUUGAUGGGGGACUAGUUGGAUACUUUUUGGCUGUUUUGGGAGUCCUUGGCAGCGGCUUCUCAGGGCGUACGUAGCCCAUUGUAGAUUCCAGCCGAGAAGAUUAAGGAAUUGUGACUGCAACCAUGUUACUUUUCUAGGACUCUGUUUCUGAUAUUGUUCCCGCUGCAUCUUUUCAUCCCCAUGGUGAAUGUUGCUGUUGAUCUGUAGAUUGGAUUUGUUCCUCGGUAGCUUUAUUAGAUUUGUGCUGAAUGAUAAUCUCUGCCUGUGAUAUUUUUCUUCAUUGCGGAUGUGUGCCGAGUAUUAUCCCCUUUGUUCAUUCUGUUGGCUUUUUUUAUUGUCUCUGUACUCGGCUGUUCAGCUUGUGCAGCUAAUGAUCUAAUGUAUUUUGUCGUAACUAUGUAUUUUUCGGAUGUGUGCCGAGUAUUAUCCCCUUUGUUUAUUCUGUUGGCUUGCUUUCAUUGAUCUUAAGAUAACUGGUGCUAUAAAUUCACACUAGCUGAUGCACUUGCAAAUAGCUAUGUAAAUAUGAAAAGAAGUAUUUUUUUAUCCUUUUGUUUGUUUGGCAUCAUAUCUGUUUAAAUGGCAUAGCAAUAAGAAUUUUUUGUUUUUGGGGAAUCAUAUCUGCUUAAAUGGUAUAGAAAAUGCUGAGUGCACUGUCAAAUAGAUUUUCCAGCAGUCUGCUUUCAGUUGUUUUUGCAAAUCCUCACAGGCCAGUGAACUGACUUUGUUUUUACCACCCCAUGCCAUUUAAAUGACUAAAUCAGUCAGCCUAAUACUAUAUAUGGUCAUGCUAUGAUCUUAUUUCUUGAAGCUCUAUAGGUCAACCCAUAAGGGUAACUUAGUUUUUCCUAUUCUGGCUGGGGAAGUGGAUACGAUGGCUAUCCUUGGUAGAGUUAAAUACAUUGGCGGCUCUUAGCGCGCCAAUGUGGCACCACAAUAUCGAACAUAUGUAGAAACCCCCUUGUUUUUUCUCAUAUCCCUCUCUCUCAGCGUCCUCUUCUCUUCUUCUCCUCUGUCUCCUCCCCUCCCAUCGCGUGCUUUAUUGCGCCGCCGCCAUCCGCCUCCAUGUAUGAACACGUCGUUUGUCAUGAAGAAGCAGUUGAUGAGGCAAUCAAGCAUGUGGUGCACAAGGUUCUUCUGCUGGCCAAGUCCGAGUCGAACAGCCGCGCAUUCAUUGGGGAAGCACGCGCCAGGCAUCACCAGGCUCCUCGUGCCCCUACUCUGCUCCAAGGACUCGGUGCUUCGACGCGCUGCUUUCCCUGUCCGGCGAGCGGGGAUCGUUGGGAGAUGAUCGAUGGAGGAUGGAGCUGAUCCUCCUGUACACGGUGCCGGUGGGGAGCAGGGAGCUGCGGAGCAGGUCCACGGGCGGCGCCAUUACAGCAGGUGCAGGCUAAGGGUAAUGAGCAGAUCGAGGCGAUGGAGGAGGACCCGCACGAGGUGCAGCUUCUUCGCCUCCUGCGCAAAGUCAGCGCCCAAGCAGCCGCUGAGGGACAGGCCGAGGCUUAGCUCGAUCUCAUCCGACUAAAUGGUGGCUGCACUCCCACAGUCCCACUGGUGCUCCUCCCUUCUGUCCGAACCUGCCGAGGAAAUCCCUCGAUGCCAUGGGUCCCGGCUGGACGACUACUCCUCCCACAGAUUGACUGAGGAAGAAGAGCUUCUCAGUGUCCAAAAAUUCAGUUACACUGGAAACAGCAACCAAUUACGUUCUUCCGGCUCAGCCAAGCCCCAAUCUCCUUGCUUCUGUGCGCCCCUGCUAAAUAUUCCAGAAACCAAUCUGGUUAGUUGUUUUUUCACAUUUUCAGUGCAUGCCGGUGCUGCUGUGUGCGGCAUGCAUGGAGUUGUCGUGGGAGUGCACGGUGGCUUAGCUGGUGCGCCAGUGCGCGGGCACGAACACAACGGUGAAGAUGGCAGGGCCAUCUCAAAGCUCCUGAGCACCUGCACGCGUCGCUGAGCAGGACAUGCUGCGACGGUGGGCGAGCGCUGCUAACGCCCUGGGGAAGAGCAGUGGGUGCAGAGAGAGGGAGCGAGGGAGAGGGGUUCUUGUAUAUGUUUGCUAGCGUGGCACCGUUUACGGUGCCCGCCUAAGUGGCAUUCACGUGUCAUUCAUCCCAAAUGGUGUUGCAAGGUUGAACCUAUUGUGGGAGGCUUUUGGUUUCCCUUGACAGUAUCACCAGUGAUAUCACUGCGUUCUGGUUAUGUAUGAAACACUUGUCCUUUUAAAACCUUUCUGAAUUUAGAAACGAAUUUGAAACAUUACCCUCAUUUCCAUGUUUUUCUAUCUUUUGUCCCUGUAAAAUCAAACUAAAUUUGAAUUAUUAUGUUCAGAACUACAAGCUGAUUUACUUGUCCCAUUUGCUAAUAACAGGGCCUUGUGAUUUCUAAUGAACAUUGCAGAGCAUGUUAUAAAGCGUAUGCAUGAACACCAAGGGGAUGAAACCAUUGGUAUAUUUCUCACAACCUUUUGAACUUAUCAUUUAGCAUAUUUGUGUUCUAGUGUGACGUUUCAGCCACGAGACAUGAGAAAUGUUAGCUAUGGAUUUUGGUUAUUCAUCAUGGGUUCACAGAUUUGUUUUUCUCUAAAAGAAUUGGGAAGUAGCUUUCUUUCUGGGUAUAUGUGGGGAAAUGCAUAUGCAAUCUUUUAUUUAUUGAGGUGACUGUAAAAUUCUUGUCUGACUGAAUAUGCGAUUUCAACCUACAUGCUAUACUUAGGGAAAUUUGUGAAUCUCCUAAUGUCUGCUGCAUGGCAUGAAUGCAUAUUUUACUGGUCCAUAAUGUGAAGUUCUGUAUAUAAACUUCUCGUGUUGACCCUUUAGAACAUGCUAACUGGAGAGUUUUCUAGAGUAGUUAAACAAGAGAUUUAGUUAAAUCUGCACACAUAGGUGGGGCCUGGCAUACCCUAAGAAUCGGCCUAGCCGGUCAGCCCAUUAGUAAAAAAAAAAGCACCGCAGUCAGCAGUCCCCACGUUGGUCUUCCUCGAGUCGCGACUCGCGAAGCUCCCAUCCUCCGAGUCCAAGAUGGUGGACUGUGUCGAGCGCGGGGCGGGCGAUUAGUUGCCCGGCCGCCGGCGGGGGAUGGCCGGACGGCCAGAUCGCCGACUCCUCUAGUCCUCCCUCCAGCCUCUGCGCUUCUUUCACAGUGGAGCUAGCGGCGAGGCGCCCGACCGACACCCUUCUUCCCAAAUCCCGGCAGCCCUACCUCGAUUUGGCCUCCUCCGAUCAUUUGAUAAUCAAUUUGAUGAAAUUAAUAUGGAGUUGCUUUCUUGUAUGGUUGCCUUCAAUCCUGCUAAUUCAUUUGCUUCAUUUGAUGCACAAAAGAUACAUAGACUUGCUAUAUUUUUAUCCACAAGACAUCACAAGCACGGAUUUGCUAAAACUUGAAUUCCAGCUCGAUAUUAUAUUGAUGAUGUGAGAUAGGAUGAUAGUUUCAAAGGCCUACAAGAUCUUGUUAACUGAGACUCAGUUAAGCUUGUUGAAACAAACAGGCAUAAUAUUUAUGACUUGGUUUACUUGCUUCUCAAAUUGGUAUUGGUUCUUCUUGUGGCGACAGCUAGUGUUGAAAGGGAUUUUUGUGCAAUGACUUUGAUCAAGAGUAAGCUAAGAAAUAAGAUGGGUGAUAGUCUUUUGGAUGAUUGUCUUAUCACAUUCAUUGAGAAAGAUAUUUUCUUUGAAGUGGAUGAAGAAGAUAUAAUUAAGACUUCAUAUCCAUUAGAAAUCGUAGGCUGGAGAAGAAGUAAUAUUUUAAUUUUCUUUGAACGUUAGGUCUGUAAGCUUCUUUUAAACUAUCUACAUUAUAAUUUAUGGACCUUUUAAUUUAACCGUUGAAUUCAUGAUAUUAUGAGAUUUUUUUAUCUAUGUUAUUAUUGUUUACCGAUUUAUUACCAAAUUAUUAGUUUGAUCUUACAAUAUUGUAUUUUGGAUGAUUGGCUCGGCAUACUCUAAGUUUAAAUCCUAGCUCCGCCACUGUUUGCACAUUAAUGUGGCUUAUAUGUGUGGAGUCACUUAACCUAUGCACUUGGACCUCCACUCCCUUAGGUUUUAUGAACCUAAUUUGACAGCCUGCUCGUCUUUUAUUUUCUACCAAUCAGCUAGGAACGAACAUGGUGAUGUUUGCAUCUCUGCCAUCAAUGGCUUACAUGUCAUUAUGUAUCACAUUAGCAAGUCUUGUUUUGUUAUUGGCUGGGAUGACGGGGACUCUAGCUGGAAUUGAAUCAAAGUGGUAGAUCACAGGGUAUUCAUUGCCAUGUAUUUCUGCAGUUGCAUGGACUUGCAUCAAACGGACCUUCCUACUUAUGUGAUUGUCCUAUAUGAUCUCCUUUGAUUUCAUUUGCACACUGUAAUCACAUUAGCUAGAACACUCGCUUUUUGCUUCAAAUUUGAAAUUCAUAUCAUGAUGGACUAGAACGCUGAAUUUCUUGAUUGCUGAGUUACUAAUCACAUUGUGGCGCUGCCAAAGAAGCUGGACUCUUCAUUGUUGUUGCCUUGUGGGCUGCCGUGUGCAAAGAACAAGAGCGCACGGUAUUAUAAUAGCAGAGCAGAACACAGACAAGCGACAAGGAGCGGAGCAGAGCAGAGCACAGCCAGGCACAAGCAGUAGAGUAGAGCAGAGCAACCGGGAGAGGAGAGGGCACAUAUGCAGAGUAGAGCAGAGCCAAGCGCAAGCAUUCAUGCACUCAAGCAUGCAGCAGAGGUGUAGCAAGGCAAGCACAAGCAGCAGAGCAGAGGGAAGGGAAGGCUGGGAGAUGAAUAGGCGAAUAGUUACCUGGACAGAGCAGAGGGAAUGGAGAUGAUGCAGAUGCUUCCGGAGACUCGAGAUUUGGAGAGGAACAAGGCCACGUUGUGAACAAGGUCUCCUUUCUCUUCUCUAUUUCCCGCGCAAGUACUUGUGCAUAGUGGCUGCCUCAUCCUCCAGGACGUCCACUUCAACCUGAGGCGGGUGCCACAGACAUCCUGGCUAUGCGACGGCUACCCCCAGCACACCCCCGGCGCCUAUGAACCAUGAUCCUAAUACUAUAAAUUGUCAACCUUGUAAUCUUAUUUCAAGCAUGCUCUCUAUGUCAACCUGUAAGGUUAACUUCGUUUUUCCUUUUCUGGGUAGGGGAGUGGAUAUUGCUGUUAUUUAUAUUAUGUUGAUAUUGGUUUCCACAUGUCAUUCACCCCAAAUGUGUUGCAAGGUUGAACCUAUCAUCGGAGGAAUUUUUUUCCCUUUACCUUUAUAUCACUACGCUCUGGUUAUGUAUGAAACACUUGUCUUCUUAAAAACCUUAAUUUAGAAACAAAUUUGAAACACUAUCUUCAUUUACAUCCUGUAUGUGUUUUCUACCUUUUGUCCUAUAUGAUCUGCUUUGAUUUGAUUUGUGCAUAGUUUUUUCAAUUCAGACCUGGUGAUUUCUGAGGUUCAUGUUGUGCUGAUAAGCAGCCUACUAUUCAGUAACACUUUCAUGUGGCAUGUUCAUGUUAGCUAGCUAGAAACACUGCUUUUAGCUUCAAAAUUCAAAUUCAUGACAUGAUGGACAUUGACAAUGAAUUUCUUGAUUGCCGAGCUAUGUACACUGUAAUUCAGACCUGGUGCUUUUAGUUUUUUUCUUGAUUGCCGAGCUAGAAACACUGUGCUUUUAGUUUUUUCAAUUCAGACCUGGUGAUUUCGGUUUUUUCAAUUCAGACCUGGUGAUUUCUGAGGUUCACGUGUCACACCGAUUUUAAGAACAAAAUCGAGUGCAUUAAAUAUACAUGUACGCUAGGAUCAGGUUACACACAUGUACGACAUAAGCGAAUAUCAAAGACAAUGCCAUAACGAAAUAAAGAGAGUAUUAAUCAUUAUUACAUGACCGAAAGUCUCAAAUAAACCACAAAAUCUAUUUAUUACAUAGCGGAACUUCUAAGAUAGCAACGUCUCCACAGGCAGCUGACUGAAGAACUGUAUGCCUAGAACUCUUCAAAAUCGUGCAGGUACUCCUCCAGAUUAGCUUGGUAUGAACAACGGUUUUGCAAGGGUGAGUACACUUAUGGUUGGUACUUAAUAAGUCGUGGGAAACAAUGUAGUGUAAGGCAAAUCAAGGUAUGGCUAAGGCUUAAACAGCAUCAGCUUUUAAUUUAGUUGGUCAAAUUUUAUUAGCAAUUAAUUAGACGUAAAUUUAUACCACCCGAAAUUAAACAAGAACAUGAAUAAAAUAAUAACAUAACCAUAAAUGAAAUGACAACAAUUUAAAUCCAUCUUUUCAUAGCAUUAUCAUGUGAGGGUCCAGUCCGUUCUUAACCGUGAGCACCGCUGAUCGAUCAGUUUUACACUCUGCAGAGGUUGUACAUCUUUACCCACAAGUCGCGUAAAAGUUCAAAAGAAUUUUGGACCCAACCAUGCGGUAUUUGCAAGGCACCAUACCACACUUCCAAGGUGUGAUUGCAUAUGAACGCUACGAGGCCUUUACAAAGAUUCAUUAGUAAGUGGUAACCCGCUAAGGUUUCGGUAUUUGGCGUGCACAACCUAUCACAGGCCGCUAAUGCAACGACUCAGUCCCCCCUCUUGCCUCAUCACGAGUAAGAUUACCCCAGACUAAGGUUUCUAAUUAUUCAGCCAAGAUCAGAACCAUUUAGUCUUGUGGUAGCACUGUUUUCCUGGGUGGUUCUCCAUGUUCCGAUUAAACAUAAUGGUCUUGUAUUAAUGGAAGGUAUAACAUAAAUAAUACCAAAUUAAUAAUAAUUCAGAUUAAAUCACCAUAACCAUAUUUGAGCACUAAGCAUGAGCUACCCAACAUAAAUUUAACCCGGUUGGUCAAGGCAAGGUAGAUAAAGUCUAGGAAAUUCUUAAUUGGGACCCAUCAAGUUUAAAUUAUACUUUGCAUGGUAUGUUGCAUAGAACAUGAAAGUAAAUGUGAAUAGGACUGAAAAGGAGUGAUUAGGGACACGACUUGCCUUUUUAACCUUGUUCUUGCUGUUCGUACUCUUCGAAAACUUUGAUCUUCAAAUCCCUUGAACUGCUGACCGUCUACACGCGUCACACGACCACAUACAAGCAAACAAAUAUAAUACAUAAGAAAACAGUACACCAAUCAUAAUUAAAUAGAAGAAACAAAUUUGAAAAGCUAUUCUACGCAUUAAAACGAAAACACGGAUACAAGGAACGUUAAAAACGGAGCUACAGUGCAAAAACUACGCUUAAAACAAGAUGCAGGGGUAUAACUACGAGAAACCAAACUUCCAGGGAUUUAAUUUUAAAUAAUUUUGAACUGCAGAAGGGGCAGCAGGGCAAAACGUAGAAAAUGCAGGGGCUUAAGCGCAAAAGCAUGGCUGCUGACUCAGCUGACUUGAUGUGGAUCGUCGGAUGGCGAUCCGGCGGCCGGCAGCUGCUGCGCUGACGUCAGCGACGGCGAGCGCCGGCGAAAAACGGCAGUUCGCCGGAAUCGCCCGGGAACGCGCGACUGGGUGCAGAUUUGAGCGAGGAUUAGACUAGCAGAUAGAAACGAGCGCAGUGAACUCAUUUGGGAUGCCUACGGCGAGGACUUGGCGACGGCAUCGGCUCCGGCGAGAACUUGCGGCAGGGAAACCAAAUAAAAUAAAAUAACACGGUUCAGAGAAGCGGCGCUGGAGGAACGCGAGCGAUUUUGCGUGCGAGCGGAAGAAAACACUGCGAGGAAGAUGACUGCGGGCCCUGCUUGUCUGCGGCAGGAGGAGAGCUGCGUGCGAGAAGAACCUGGCCACGAUCUGGGCCGUUGCCUUCGAUCUGGGCCGAGGCAAGCUAGCUGGCCCGCUGCUGCGGAAAGGUGCUGGGCCACGGGCGGAGCACAGCGUCGGGCCAGAAAGGAGAUGGCUGCUGCGAGGAAACAAAAGAAAAUGAACUGGGCUGCGACAGAGGAAAACUGGGCGUCGGCCAGAAAGAAGCUGCGUGCAGCUUGCUCUUGUUUCCGAACUAGAAACAGGAACUGACGGAAAGACAGAAAUCAAUUGGAGACUGAAACUGACGCCCCAGACUCUGAACUUCGAAAAAACAGGACAACCAGCCAACUGACAGAAAAAAAAAAGCUUAACAACCCAAAAGCAGUACACAACCACGAAACCAGGCCACAAGACUGAAAAAGCUUGAUAGGAACAUCUGGCGACUGAACCAAAAAACUACAGAACUGCAACUGAAGAACUAGAGAACAGAUAAAUAACUGAUUGAACUCUGAAACUGAAACACCAAAGAGCAGGAAGCUGACUGACGGAAAAUGCAAAACAGCAACCCAAGGUGAAACACAAAUUCUUCUUCAAGCAUUCAAACAAAGAGAUAUGCAACAGCAUGAAUGCUCAAUAAAAUCCUAUAUUUCAUUAAUUAAUUAGAAAAAAUGCUCAAAUGCCUAGAAAAAUGCAAAAGUGACCUUAUAUGCCUUAAACAAGCAAAUUCGUUUCUAGCGAUUUUUGGUAAAAUGCAAAAUUAGAGAUUUUGGGUGUUACAUCAUGUUGUGCUGAUAAGCAGCCUACUAUUCAGUAACACUUUCAUGUGGCAUGUUCAUGUUAGCUAGCUAGAAACACUGUGCUUUUAGCUUCAAAAUUAAAUUCAUGACAUGAUGGACAUUGACAAUGAAUUUCUUGAUUGCCGAGCUAUGUACACUGUAAUCACAUUGUGGGGCUGAUAAAAUAAGCAGCGUUGAGACACAUAACAAUUGAAUCUUAAGCUUCACACAGAAUCUGGACCAGUCAUCCUCAUUCCUGUCAUGCUGGAAAUGUCUUUGAUACAUUUCAAUCACAGGCAAUUGAAUUCGUACUGGGGAGGAUGGCAAUGGUGCAUGAAGAGAGAUCAAUGUGGCAAAUCUCACAUUGUUCAUUACCAGGUAUCUCCGAUUUCUGGUUAUUUUAAAUUUACCUUGACAUGUGACUUAUUGAGGUAUUGUAUUUCAUCUAAUGGUAGUUCUGAAUUUAUGGUAACCUUGGAUGGGGUUUGUCACUUUAUACACGCACGGACUUACAAAGGACAGCAAAUGAGUAUAUUUAGAGGGCUCCUGUCCAACCAUGGACUAUACUUAUGUACCCUUUUUUGACAUGGUAAUUUGAGGUUAAUGGAAAAGUAGCGAUAGUCGCCUCCAGCGAAGCUACCUUCUUCGAAAGCUCCGAGGCUGCUUUCUCGCUCUUAGCAAGCCGAUCCCUCGUAAUCAUCGAAGAGUAAGAGACCUACAGAUUUUAAAAACCAAGUUACCAAAAAUAACGAAGUAAAAGACAACACUCGCAAGACAAACCACCAAACUAUCUCAUAAUUGUACCUUCUUUACGAGGUUCGCCUCCAAGUUAAAGAGCUCUUCCAAGAUCAUUGACUUCACAGCUUGCUGAAAAUCUAUGCGCCAAAGGAUAUAGUCGUAAGCAUAAAAUAAAAAUUGGUAAAAACCAAGGACAGCAAAGCCAUCUACAAGCUGUUCUUACCCUCAUACUUUCGCACCUCAACGGCGAUCGGAACAACCUUCUCUCUAGCCUCGCCCUUAGACGCCACCACAAUCUUCCCGCCACACAAAUCCACAACCCCUCCUUUACCUUUGCCCUCUCCCGAAGUCGUCGUGCCCGCCUUCUCCACCCUUUUUGAACCGCCAACAUCUGCAUAGCGCUCGCAACCUUCACCUUCAGCCCCCCAGACCAAAGACAGGUUGUGAGGAUUAUAAACCCUACCUUCGGCGCAUGUAGCUAGAAUCUCCGUGCGCCCGCUCAAGCCCAGACACUCAUUCAGUCCCUGAAGCCCCGCCGGCAACCUCUCACCUACAUCAUAACAUUCAACUUUUAGCCUCACAUGAUCCUCACAACUAACCUUACCAACGCCCCCCAUAGUUUCUUCCAAGUCCUUCAAAAAUUUCGUUGAGGCCUCACCACAAUCAAAGAACCGUAGCAUCGAUAGAAACACCUCUACAUGCUUACCAGAUCUCACAGCUUCGGCACACCCACCCUUUGGAUCAGAUGAGAACGCAUCCACAAGCUUCGCCUUUUCGGUGGCAAACCCCCUCUCAAGUUUCCCAACAUCAGUCAAGAGAUGUUGCGCGCUCUUAAACUUCGAGCUUAUGGAAGGCACCGUGAUCUUGGUACCAGCUGCCGAAGACGCGUCAACCUUGGCACCCGUAACAGUAACAGGAGCAAAUCGAGGUUUCUUGGCGCCUCUUUUGAUCCGUGCGGCGGGCCCGGUGGAUGAAGGUGCAAGAGCUGGAACCUCCUUAGGAGGGCGCAUAGAGACAGGAACAACAUAUGCCGGAUUGCUCAAGUCGCCAGACGAAGCUGUCGACCACGAUGGCAACAUAGCAGACGAAGCCCCCGCGGUCAUUUCCUUCCUUUUUUGCGCCUCCAAAUUCAAGGUCUUUUGCUUCGCCUUAGCGGUCACUUGCAAUUCAAUAGUGAGCUUCACCAUGGGUACGAAGUCAAAUUUUGCCUUUUUCCUCUGCUCAAGACUAGCACCGCGACGGCGCCUCUUGCCCGUAACUUUGGGGUGAGGCAGAACCACAAUAUCAUACAAGUCAAAAAUCUAAGAUGAUGACAUUCCAUUUGUAUCCAUGAUUUAUAUUGUGUUCCUUGAAUAUCCAUUAAAGUCUACUUGAAUUGAUUUGCAAUUAUGUGAAUUGUAUGUGAAACUCUUUCCUUGUAUGGUUAUUCUAAAGUUGUCCCUAGUCGGAGUUCAUGUGAGGACACAUGAAUAUUAGACUAGCACAUGUAUUAGUUGAUGACUAUGUUUCACAAGUCAUGGACAUGAAGAUGUGGAACUAAUAAUGUGGGCACAUGUGGAGACACGUGCUAGGACUGACCCAACACGAGAAGUAGUUCUCUCUUUAUACAACAUAUACGCUUUGUCCUUAGACCUGAGAUUGUCGCAUGUACUCAAGAUGUGGAUCGACUUACUUAGGGGCUAUCAAAUUCUACGCCGUAACAGGGUAGUUAUAAAGGUAGCUUUCGGGUUUGUCAAGAAGCAUGCUAUGAGACAUGGUCAAUCAAGAUGGGAUUUGCCCCUCUCUGAUUGAGAGUGAUAUCUCUGGGCCCCUCGAGUGAUCGGAUCCGAAAAUGCAUGGCCAUGCUACAUACGAUUAAGAGUUAGCCUACAAAAGGAUUCCGAAUCAUAGGAUCGAGAAAGAGCGGUCGGCUUGAAGCUAGACCAAAUAUCGUGAGGCAAAGGGAAUAGCAUGUAUAUAAUGUUGUGAUGGUUCGUCUGAUAUGAUCUUCGUGUGCGUAUAGGAGUUGGCACGUCUUGCUAGAGGUCGCUACCGACUAUUGGGCCGAGUAGGAGUACUCAGGCCAUGUCUAUACGUAUCCGAACCCAUAGGGUCACACACUUAAGGGGCUGGAAGCCCAAUUCGGAUGUGAUCCGAAUUGGAUUAGGUUUAGAAGUACUAAUGGGCCUUGGACCUAGAGGCCCGUUAGGAACCUCUAUAAAUAGAGGGGUGGGGGCGCCCUAGGGUUUACACCUUUUUGGUGAAACACAUCUGCCGCGCCUCCCACGCCUUCGCCUGUUGCAACUCGCGGACCUAGCAGUCCGGCUUGCGACGCUUCCUCCCUGCACGUGUGGAUACCUUGGAAGUGUUGCUCCUGCAGCACUUGGACGAGCCGCCAACGAGCCACGACGAGCCACGAUGAGCCGACGAUGAGCCGCGGCACGAGGGGGAUCUUGCUGCACGUGGACGAGCUGCUGAGGAGCUGCUGGACGUCGAUGUGUUCGACUACGUACGACUACGCUGAUCGACUUCGCUGCAUCAACGCGAAUCUACAUCUUCCGCAUCAUUGCAUCGAGUGGUAAUCCCGUGAUCCUGAUACGGCAGUUUUCCUAGUUUACGCGGUAGAAAAUUUUGUUUUGUGCUAGUGUAGCCUAACUCAUAUCCCAACAACGUGUGCUAUAGGUCACGCAAGCCUGAAAAUGGCCACACCGGACACCGGGUACGAAAACAUGGGGGAUGGACCGAACAUUUGAAAAUGGCCUCCAUAUGUGUUUUCGGCUAUGAAAAUGUGUGUUAUAGGUCACAGAAGCUUGAAAACGGCCGCACCAGCCACUAGGGACGAAAACGUGGGGGAUGGACCAAAGACAUAAAAAAUAGCCUCCAGACGCGUGUUCGGCCAUGAAAACGUGUGGUAUAGGUCCUGGAAGGCCAAAAACAGCUACACCGGCCACCUGGGACGAAAAAGUUUGUGUAAGACCGAACACUUGAAAAUAGCCUCUGGACGCGUGUUCGGCUAUGAAAAGGUGUGUUAUAGGUCACACGAGCCCCAAAACAACCACAGCGAACACCAGCUACAAAAACAUGGGGGAUGGAUCGAAUAAUUGAAAAUGGCCUCCAGACGUUUGUUCGGCCAUGAAAUCGUGCGUUAUAGGUCGCGGGAGCCCGAAAACGGCCACACCGGCCACCGGGAAUGAAAAUGUGGGGGAUGGACCGAACAAUUAAAAAUGGCCUCCGGAUGUGUGUUCGGCCAUGAAAACGUAUGUUAUAGGUCACGGGAGCAUGAAAACGGCCGCACUGGCCACUGGGGACGAAACGUGGGGGAUGGACCGAAGACGUGAAAAUAGCCUCCAGACGCAUGUUCGGCCAUGAAAAUGUGUGCUAUAGGUCAUGCAAGGCCAAAAACAGCUGCACCAGCAACCGGGGACGAAACCAUGGCUGUCAAACCGAACGCUUGAAAAUCGCCUUCGGACGCGUGUUCGGAUAUGAAAACAUGUGUUGUAGGUCACGCGUGCCCGAAAACGUCCACAACGGACACCGGGUACAAAAACGUGGGGGAUGGAUCGAAUAACUGAAAAUGACCUCCGAACGCGUGUUCGGCCAUGAAAACGUGUGUUAUAGGUUGCGGGAGCCCAAAAAUGGCCACACCGGCCACCGAGGAUCAAAACGUGGGGGAUUGACCGAACAAUUAAAAAUGGCCUCCGAUUGUAUGUUCGGCCAUGAAAACGUGUGUUAUAGGUCAUGGGGGCCCAAAAAUGGCCGCACCAGCCACCAAGGACGAAAAUAUGGGAGAUGGACCAAAGACAUGAAAAUGGCCUCCAGAUGCAUGUUUGGACAAAAGUGUGUGCUAUAUGUCGUGCAAGGCCAAAAACAGCUACACCAGCCACCGGGACAAAAACGUGGGUGUUUGACUAAACAAGUGAAAAUGGCCUCCGGAAGCAUGUACGGCUAUGAAAAUGUGUGCUAUAGGUAAUGGAAGGCUAACAAAAGCUACACCGGCCACCGGGGACAAAAUCAUGGGUGUCAGACUGAACACUUCAAAAUGGCCUCCGGACGCGUGUCCGGCUAUCAAAACGUGUGUUAUAGGUCAUGCGAGCCCGAAAACAACCACACUGAACACCGGGUACAGAAACAUGGGGGAUGGACUGAAUAACUGAAAAUGGCCUCUAGACGCGUGUUCGGUCAUGAAAACAUGUGUUGUAGGAUGCGGGAGCCCGAAAACGGCCACACCGGCCACCAGGGCAUGGACCAAACAAUUGAAAAUGGCCUCCGGAUGUGUGUUCGGCCAUGAAAACGUGUGUUAUAGGUCACGGGAGCCCAAAAAUAGCCGCACCGACCACUGGGGAUGAAAUCGUGGGGGAUGGACCGAAGAUGUGAAAAUGGCCUCCAGAUGCGUGUUCGGCCAUGAAAACGUGCGCUAUAAGUCAUGUAAGGCUAAAAAUUGCUACACCGGGACUAAAGCAUCCCCCAUGAGUUACAAUAAAAGGAUUGUAUCCUCUACUCAGUCGGAUGUACUGUGUAGGUGAGAUGGUAAGGAAGCUAUGCGCGAGGUUUGAGGUUGUGGGUUGAAAUCCUACGCACCGCGCGCACACGCGCAUAUUUUGUGUGAAAAAUCAUGUGACUUGUGAUCGGCCAAGGAGAAGUGGGUGCAGCUGUGGCUUAAGUGGCUGAGGCACGCUGCCAUAGACAUCUCCGAUUUGCUCGAAGACUACCAAGACACUAGCAAUAACAAGAACUACUGCUCUUCCUAGCAGACUCUUUACAACCACUUUAAAGCUGUGCAUUUCUCAAUGUAAUUUCGUAGAAGGCAAUCGAUCCAACCAAGCGACUAAAUCAUUUGUUCUUGCCAAUGAUGUACAUCAGGUUUUCUAUAUGAAGGACAUGUCUAGCAAACCUAAGAUUUUAGAAGAAAAAGAAAAAUUAUGGGAGUCAAUAAUAAAUCAGGCCAAUCAGGAGAUUAUAGUAAGCUCGAUGGUAUGCCUCCAUUCGAUGUCGAAGUUGGCCCAAGCAUCAUGUUAGCCAAAGAUCAAAUGUUCGUGCAUUGCUACGGUAAAGAUCAAUUGUGUCUUUUAAACCCAUGGAAUUUUUUAUCUAUGUUUUUAUUACACUUAAUGGAUGUCUACACAUUUGCUAGAAAAUCAAAAUAAUUUUGACUUAAUUAUUUCUUUCAACUCAAAUACUCAUUAAAUUUCUACCUUUUUAUUUAAGCAAGAGAGUUGCUCAAAAAAUGGAUACGUAACCAUGUUGUAUCAUACAAAGCAACCACAUUUCACAUAUAGUCUGGCUUAGCAAACACCAUUGUUGUCUUAACAUAGUGUUCAUGAGUUAGUAGACAUGGAUCUAUUUCUAAUUGCAAGUAGUGCAGCGUACAACCAGCCUGCACCGCCGCAGCUCAAUAUGCGAUAAUUUUUUAUCUUCCCAUGUAAUUUUUCUACUCUAGUACAUAUUGAACUCCACAUAAAUGUCAUGUUCUUUCACGCCACAGACGGUUUCUAAAGUUUGGAACUAAAUAGAUAGCCAAAAAUUUUAAAAAAAUAUUUAUAUGGAUACAUGUAUGUUCUUUGCAAACUAACAAUAUUGUUUACAAUAUCAAAAGGAAUAUGGCUAUGAUCAUUGCCGCAUAUGGCAGGUGAUGGUAGAUGCCGUAUGGGGUUUCUUUAACUUAAUUGUAUAAUAAGCUGAAAUACAUUUUCUAUUUGCAAAUGAAUCAUAGCUGAAAGUGGUGGGAUUGUAGAACCGCCGGCCAUCGUGUCCUUGUAGGACCGCUGCACGAGCCUGUGAGCCACCAGCCACCAUGCGCCCAAGGGCCAUCACCACGCCAUAAGAGGAUGCUGUCUACCCGGUUUCGCGCGCCUGUGCUAGCUGCCUGAACCUGGGCCGCCGCCGGUCGCCUGCCCAGCCGCGCGUUGCGCCAGGGUUUUGCUGGUGACGACCAUGGCCUUCGCGAUCAAAUUAAAAAGUUAUCAACUGCAAAGUAUUAGGUCUCGUUGAGCUCUACAAUUUUGAUAUAAAGUUUCUAUUCAUCCGAGAUCAAAUAAAAAAUUUGAUACUCAAAGCAUAAAUCCAUUAAUCUAGUCUUGCUAAUCCUUACCACCAAAUAAAAAACUAGCAUGUGUUGUGUGUUUGUGACCCUAAACGAUCACAAAUGAAUAACUUAUGGGCCUUGCUAGCGCCCGGAUGUCCAGGCCGGGGCACUAGCAUCAGACCCACGAGUAGCCGUCCGAUCAGGUUCGACACCACUUCAGGAUCUGGCUUAAAAAGAAGUCCCACCGAAACAUUGUUCCAUGUUGCAUGAAGCAACCCACUACCGUCGCCAGGUCUAGAGCAAGCACCACCUUCAAAUGUGCUGCUCACCCUAGCUAAAUAGGGGCAUUAAAAUAUUUCUCGCAUAUCCUUCUCAAAUUAAACAAAAUCGCAACAUCUGAAAAUUUUUACAGAAAACCAUGAAACAUAUCGAUUAGAUAGAUGUAACAAGAUGGAAUAUGGUAUAUGCAACAUAUAGGUUCCGAAAAGCAGAUGAAAUAUUAUGUAAUGAUUCUUGAAACAGUCAAGAAAAAUAGAUGUAACAUCUAAAAUUAAGAAAAGAAGCUUUAUGCAAAUUGCAAAAAGCUGAAACAAGUGGUUGAAACAUUUCAAAUCACCAAAUGCCACAUUUGAAAUGACCAGAUGAAACAUCACGAAAUCAAUUGCAACAGUUGAAGAUGAAAACAUUCAAAUGCCUUGCCUUUCUCCAAAUUUGACCCUCCAAGCAUGAGUCCAGCCAUUUGCACAUUAGACCCUUGGGAGGAGCUCACCGGAGAACAACAAGACCGUGUUAUCCAACAAUUUUCAGAUCAAAUUGCAACAUAAAGAACAAAGCAUUGCAACAUCUGGCAUCACGAGCUACAACAGCAACCAGUUAGGAUCAGGAGAAAGAGGGCAAACACAAGCCUAACAAUGAGUUAUAUCCGGUUUAAACAAGGAUAAAAAUGAGUGUAUUUUACACUCAUCAUGUUGUCUUUUCGCAGCUGUACCGCCUUUAGCGUGUUGUAUUGUUCCUAACACCAAGUCUCCGAGGCCCGAAAAAAUAAGGAAAGUGGUAGCAGCUCAGAAAUCGACUAAGUUUCUUUCCCCCUUUGGCUUUCCUACUAGGAUUCGGAAUCCUCUUUCGUAUGACAAUCUUAAUGAUCUCCCAUAGUCCAAAACUCACAAAAACAUCAAAAAUCCACCGAGAAUAAAUUAAGUAAAAAAACAUGCACACACAGAUAAUAAUAGUAAUCAUGUUUCAUUAUGAUUGCUAAGGUCAGACACAAUACAUAAACAUAUUAGACUGAGUGACCCACCUCACCUCAGAGUAUGCACCAUGUCUGAGUGACCCACCUCACCUUGCCAGGACACUGGUCCUGCCCUCGUGGUUCACGCGCCCUCGUGGUUCAGCAGUGGUCAGUACACAAAUCUAGCUGCCAGUCGGAUCCAAGGGCAGGCAUUUGCAUUGUGGUUGUGUUUGAACAUGGAGAUGUCAUUAUUAUUGUCAGGCACCAUACAUCCUCUCUCAGUUUCACUCCGCCUCACACACGGAUAGCACACCAGGGACCCGACACCAUGCAUGCCGAUUUCAUAUUAUUAAUAUUUAAUUUUUUUAAUGGUUGUUGAAACUAUAUUGUUGAUAUUUUUAUACAUAAUUUACGACCUAAUUUGGAUAUAUUUUUGAAAUAUUCCGAAAUCUUAAAUUCACACGUCUAGAGAUACAGUUAGUCCAAUCUGAUGUUUCCGAUUAUAAAAAUGAACAUAAAGAGAUAGGAAGCGAGAGACGUGAGGGGGAAAGUUAAAUUAGGGCCUAAGGGGUGAAGUUAGGGUUCCAGGUGAGCUGUCAUCACUACGUGUUUUUAAUCGAAAUUGGAAUGUCAGCAAUCGUCAGAUCUUGAGCCAACAGUUGAGACUGCCUCGGAAUGGUAAUUAGGUCUGCGCGAGCUUGCAUUGUGGCCUUCCUUGAAACCUUGGACAUAGGUGUUAUAUUAUUAUGUUCUUGCCAGCACACAGCAGUGAAGGACGACACAGUUGAGAUGUGCAUCACAUUUUCUAUAUGAAGGAUAUGUUUAGCAAACCUAAGAUUUUAGAAUAAAAAGAAAAAUCAUGGGAGCCAAAGCGCCACAUAGUUCUUCCAGGUAAAAAAAAAUCAUCCACUGGACCAGCACAUAGUAACGAUCCAAAAAGUCCAUAUUAAGAUUUUUUGAUAGCAGAAAAAACAUAAAAUGUCUAAUAUUUGUAGUAUUAAAAGGAAAAAUAAUAUAUUCACGUGACCUUUUUCCCGUAGCAAGGCACCGGUACGUGGUCAGACUUAAUGCACGAUGCCUAAGCAUCCAUUGGGCCUACCCUCGUGUGGAUCACGCGCAACAGGACACGGCUCACAAGCUAUGAUGUGCAGCAGUCGCUCAGAUGGCUGAAAGGUACCCUUAAUUUGAAUGGUACCAUAUAUAUAUAUAUAUAUAUAUAUAUAGUAAACAAGACAAACCACCGUUGAUACUACUUUGCACUACUUGAUACAUAUAUCUCCACCAAAAGCGAGGCACGUGGGGAGGAGAGAUAUGUGGUUGAUGGUGCGGGCACGUGGCGAGUGCACCGUACGAAAAUUUUGCUCGUGUCGGACGACUGAUGUGAAGCAUUACCCAAUCUUAAUUAUCUCCCAUAAUCCAAAACUCACAAAAACAUCAAAAAUCCGCCGAGAAUAAAUUAAGUAAACCAUGCACACACAGAUAAUAAAAUUGCUAAUAAGGCCAGAGACAAUACAUAAACAUAUUAGACUGUUCAUGACACAUAUCACGGUGGAUAGUGUCUGUGUCCUUAUUACAAGCAAUGAGAGAUGCUUGUCACCACACACACGCGCACAGAUGCACAACAUACAUAUAGUUGAGACCAACAGAUGGAUCAACUAGAGGUCACCCCAUAUGGUGAACAAUUUAUUGGAGAUAAACAUUAACAUAACUUGGCCAUAGCUUGAAGCAUAGCAACAUAUGCCUAUGAACGGCGUUCAUGCUAUCAUUUUAGGCUUGUCCGCUUCUUCCAUCUUAGCAAGCACUUCCAUUUCUACCAUCUUAGAAGCAACUGUCAAAUUGAGAUAUGGAAAUCCCAUUAGCGCAUGAGUUAAUUUUGCAGUGAAAAUAGAGUACAAGAUAUCUUCAUGAUGUAAGUAACAUGCCUGAAGUUGUGAGAUGGGAAGUGAAGUCAACAAAUUACAUUAACGGAAAUGCAUGGAAGGCCACACAUACGUAUUAGUCCAUGAUAUGCUACAAAGCUUGUAUGUACAUAUAGCAAAUUAAAUGCAUUAAUUGAAUAGAGUGAGUUUAGUGAAUUUACCAGAAUCGUCCAGAAAACAUGGGAAACAGCAAGUGUUCUUGCAGACUGCGUCGGUGCCACCCACAGCAAUACAACCAAAACAACAUGCUUUUGCCCGAGCGGCUGCGCAGCAGCCGCACUCUGCCGCGGUGGCCGAGUUAGCAUUGAGGCUCAAGAUGACCAGGCACAUGAUCACCAUCAAAGCGGUGGUAGUCCUCUUUCCCUCCAUUGCCUCCUCUUGCUGCUACCUUCCUUGGUUACCUAGCUAAGUUUAUUGGUUUUGUGUUGAGAGGUGAUUCUUGCAUUGAAUGGACGUUGCCGCGGCUGCAAUUUAUAGGCAGCUGCGCUAUGUGAUGAUAUGGACAAGGUGCAAAUGGGUGGUCCUGAUAUGGAUAAGGUGCAUGCGAAUGGCUGUCUACUUGUAUAGUGGCGCUCCAAUGUACAUACGUAUGUA
rnacentral:lncRNA from 1 species